UCAUGAAUGCAUCGAUUUCAGGGUCUGGUUUGAUACCAGAAUCUUUCUCCCGUCUAGACAGCUCUACCAGCAUAUCGUACCUGGUUCCAACUCCCAGGCAACGUCCGGAAAAGUCCAACGUUUCACGAACUGUCAUCUCACCAUAAUGAAGAUCAUGCUGGCUAAUGUAAGCAGAGGUUCUCUGAGGCACAAAUUCCACAAAUUCAUGGCCACAGUAGGUCACUUUUCCACUUACCUGUUCAUAACCCCAAAUUGUCAGCACGUAUAUAUAAAAACAAAAAAGGGAACAUGUAAGUGCUCGUCUGCAAUAGAAAAACCCAAUAAAAUGUAAGGAGAUAGAGAGGAUUACAAACCCUUAGAUCCUUAUCAAGUUUGCCCGCAAGCGCUUUUAAAAGUGUUGUUUUUCCUGAUGAAGGAGGUCCCAGAAGCAGUGUCAUCCUGGAAACAAAGAGACCAAGCUCUUAAAUGUUGUUGAGCAAAGACUAGUAUGUUCCUUUACAUCUUUCUUCUGUAUGAGCAACUAAUUUCUUUUGAAGAAACUACUUUGUGUUAUAUUUUCACAGGAACUAUUGUUUGAGAUCUUAUUGAUGCGGAAAAAAACAUCACACUAGUCCAGUAAAGCGAUUAAAUAUGCAAAGAUCUUGAGCAUACCUCGAUGGCCUCACGAUGCCGCUCACAUCUUUGAGAAUCUGAACAUUUCUUUUCUUUGAUGGUACGAGUUUAAGCUUUCCAAUUAUUCCCUAUUCACAUUCAUAGAAAUUUACAAAUCCGUGAGUUCACCAUAGAAAUUUAGAAAUAAACAAUGAAACUUUACUAUCAAUAGAUAUUAUGUAAAAUACCUCUAUCAUGUUCAAGGAAGAAUUUAGCAGUGUUGGAAGUGCUCUGCUGCCAACAUAUGCAUCUCCCUCUAUUGAUAAUUUCUCAAAUCUAACCUCAACUUUAGGCACAUCAAUCCCAACCCUGUUUCCAAUCAACCAAAAACAUUCAAAAUCCAACCCGAUUUUCGCCAACCAAACAAGCAAAGUAUAAAUAUAUCAGAACCCCAAUUCAACAAAACCAGAAAACAAAUCACAAACCUUUCAUUUCUGGCUCUCAUUCUCUGCAAGAACUUUUCAUUGUCAUCCUCCACAACCUUAAGUAUGUUUUCCAUCAACUGCUUCUUAUCUUGCUCCCCAAGAUUCGCCGUAUCGAUUUCUUCAGUCAAAACCCUCCCAUUGCUCAUGGCCUGCCUCAGCAUCCCUCUCCUCAUCCUAUCAUAUGUGGGCAGCCUCUCUAUGGCCGCCCACUUGAGCUCCUCCUCCUCAUCUAACACCUGCUGCCGACCGCUUCGCUGAAAAACGUCCGGCGCGUUCCACAUCUCCCUCACACUCGCAGACCGCCAGCUCCCCCGGCUGCUGGUCUGCCGGGAUAAGUCCUCCCCGGCAAGCGCUGUCGCUAUAGACAUGGUUGCUAGCUCGAAAAACCAAACAAAUCCCCCUCAGCUCAAUAUUUCAGAAAAUGGGUUGAUUCAAACAGCCAAAUCCGGCUGACCCAAUUCCAGAAACCGAUUGAACUCACUACUUUUCUUCCCUCCUAAGAAAACAAAAAUUGAAUCAAUCCACACAAAAUGUACACACUUAAAUUUCCAACCCUUUAUUUUCUUCACCAAGAAAGUAUUUUUCCACUCCUGUGAGACUCAAAGAAUAGUGCUUUUGGAGAAGAAAGAGGGGGAGGUGAUAUUUUCUGGGUUGAGAUUUUGGUCUUGGUUUUAUAGAAAAAGUGCGCCAUCGACGAAGAAAAAGCAGAGGAAGUUCAUGCGAACCUGCAAACAGCCACCUUUCGCAAAUAUUUUUUUAAUUAUUUUAUGCUUUGAAAAUUCUUGCCUUCGUUUCACUUUUACAGGAGAAGAGUCGUUGGUCAAAUUGUGACUACUUUCCAGAAUUUAAUCAAUAAAUUAACAUAAAAAGCAAAAUAUCACACGCUGUCGCUUUAUUGCUGUUGAAACUUGAAACAACGAGGCACUUCAUAUUUGAUAUUUGAUACCCUUCACUUUAAGGUCAUUUUCAAAAUAAACCCUCGUAUUUUAAUUAUGUUCAUUUUGUACCUUACUGCAUUGAAAUAUGUUCUCCGUCUAACCAACCGUUUGAUCAUUCAUUUAAAUUGAUAACGUUGUGAGCAUUUUAUAUGGACUAUUGUGUCAGUCUCUUGCGCACGAUACGAUAUUUAUUAAAAUAAAUCUUCAAUUUUGCUAAGCAUUAUACAUCACAAAAAUGAAUAAGUUGACACAAUUUUAAAAUCUCAAACGCAUUAUGAGAAAAUUAAAACUUUAUAACUUGUUUUGAAAAAUAUCAAAUUUAAUGUGUAAACUAAUUGAAAAAAAUGAGUGUGUACCUUGGUGGGGAAUAGAUUCUUGCCGAUCUCUCUUCCCAAUAUUUAAAAUUCAAUAACACUAUCGUUUGUAAAAACAAUAAAAUUACCAAAACUGUGCAAAUGUUGGGUUGGAAAGGGGAUACGUGGCGAUUGAGGAAAUGGUGUUCAAUUAUUUAAUACGGAAAAGUGUGAAUGUUGUCAAAUGCUGACCAGCAAAAUGGAUGCUUCGAUGGACACAAUUUCCACGUUUUUAAAAUACUUUUUUUGUGGAAUUUUCUUACCAACUUUUUGGGAAACGAAUCAUUUUAAAUAUAUUGGAAAAGAAUCAUUUUUGGGAAAUAAAUAAAGUGCAUUUAUCGAACGUGUAGACAUGAAAUUCAUAUUAAAAAGAGAAAACUGGGUGAAGUAAAGCGUGACUGCGUGGGGGCCACUACAUAGUUAAACUUCCACUUAUAUUGGAUUCAUAAAAUAACGAGUAAUGCUAAAUAGAUUGAAUUUCUAUAUAAAAUUUUAUAAACUAAAUAGAGUAAUGUUAGGGAAACUAAAUUUGUAAACUAAAUUUAGUAAAUAAAUAACAUGAAAGUUGGUGAUUGAAUUAUUACUUAAACGUUGAUAAACGUGAUCAUUUUUUUAUUGAUAACACAUUUUUUAGUUUGCAAAUUUAAUCUUCCUAGCAUUACUCAACUACAUGAUAUGACAAUUGAUUAUUGAAUUAUUACUUAAGCAUUAAUAAACGUACUCAUUUCCUAAUAGUAACACAUCAUUUGAUUUCUAAAUUUUGUCUACAAAUUUAGUAUUCUUAGCAUUAACCUAAAGUAAAUUAGCAAAAUUCAAACAUAAUGUUAACUGUGGAUGCAAAUUUUCCUCCUCGAUAUUGGACAAUUUUGCACCUACAAAACAACUAGUACCUUAGGUUAAGGCCAAAAGCCUCACGCGCCCACGAUGAAUUGGGGGGGCUUUGGCCGAAGAACCUCCGAUGCCAAAGUUAGAAUUUUAGAGAGAAAUAGUGUUUAGAGUAUUUGGGAUUUUUUGCAAGAGGUUUGGAAUGGGUGUUUGGUGAAAAUGGGUCCCUAUUUAUAGGACUAGGUUGGUCCACUUUUCAAAGGAAGUGGCCGGCCACUUUGUCCAUUUUUUGGUGAAUUUGUGGUUUAAUUAGCCACUUUAUUAGCUAAUAAAAUAUGAUAGAAAUAAAUGGGGGUUAUCAAAUUGAAUGAUUAGCUUUAUUUGGGAAAUAAAGUGGGAAAAGAUAAGGAAGGUAGAAAGCUAAGGGGAUGGCCGGCCAUGUAGUGUUUUAGGGUUGAAUUGGAUGUAUUUUGUGGUUAUUUGGAUAUAAUGGAUGGUUUAAUUGACAAUUAAUGGGUUAAUUAGGCAAUAAACCCAUUAAUUAGCCAAUUAACAUAAUUUUAAAAGGAAUGUGUUUGGGAAUUACCUUGUAGAAAGGAUUUGAUGAGAUGGACUUUGAAUUGUUACCUAUUUUGGGCACUUCUGUCUUGGUUGAAAGAGGGUUGUCUGCUGCUUGUGCGUAGGAACCUCGUUGUACUGCAAGGGUAUUUUGUCUUUUUUGUCCAAAAAUCCACGUGUCGCCUUGUGAAUAUUUUUGGCUCCACAAAUGCCCCCACACAUGUUGGGCUGCUCGCAGAAAAGGGCAGCAGGUGUAGAGAUCUUCUUGCUUUAGGAAACUUAGGACUGCUUCCUAUUUUGAUGUAGAUUCUCUCUUUAAUUGGAAAUUAGAUCCUUCUAGGAAGGGAAAAUAAACUUCUCUCAAAGCCUAUUUAAGUCCACCUUAAGUGGGUUAUUAAAUCAACUUUGGAGAGCAAUUUAGUCUACCCCACAAGAGAGAGAAAGUUAGAGGAUAUUUGUUCCCCCUUCUCUAGCAAUCUUCUACAUCUUGCCCGUGCAAAGGACCGUCUUUCGUUGAUUUCUUCGUCUUCCCCGUGUCGCACCGAUGUAAGAACAAUUUAAUUUUUCUUGCCUUCUUCUCGGAUAGUGCUAUUGCGGGGCAAUCGUCGGGGUGGUGCGGCAUGUCGGCUGGCAAGGGCCAGGAGUUGGCUCGGCAUAGGCCGAGGAGAUGUCGUGGCAGGGACCACUACUUGGACAACUUGGCUUGGCUUGAGCUAAGGGCAGUUUGUGCGGCUGGGGUCGCGGAUUGUGGCGCUGGGGCGCAGUGCUAGGCGAGCCGCAUAGCUCAUGUCAUUUGGGCUUUUGGACCUGACUGAGAGAAAUGAGGAGAUUGUGGGUCUCAUAGGCUGCUGAAAUGUUGGACAUGCAGGUCUCCUGCCUGCUGGAAUGCUGGGUUGAGCUCCCAUGCUGAGUACCAUGAAUGUCGUUGGCUGCUUAGUCCUUUUUGCUGAGAGAAAUGUGGGCUGUUCCCGAAAGAGGAGGUAAAGAGGAUCAAGGCGGAUGCAUUGGCUCGUCUGAUCGCUGUCAUGAAGCUUACUAUGAAUGAAGAUGGAAAGAAGAGAUCUUCCCCGCCUGCUCAUAAGAUGCCAGUUAAGAAAAAACUGAAGACUUCUUCCGCUGCUCAUGAGGGUCCGCCUGCUACCAAGAGGUAUGUGAUUGACAUGACUUCUUCCAAUGGGAAGAAAAAUAAGGUUGCUAGAUCUGAGCAUGUGGCGUCUUCCAUGUUGAGAAUGGCUAGUACAAUUGUUGAUAAAAUUACUCAGCGUAAAGGUUUUAUCAUGCCCCCAGUGCCGAAGUCUGUACCAGGACGUUCGUUGGGAGCCAUGUCUGGUUCACCUUUGUAGAAACUUGCUAUUAUGAAGAGUGGUAAAGUGGACUCUGCUGCUAAAGUGGCGCCAAAGCCUACUCUCUUUGCUGCUGAGAUUGAUUCGCCUACUAGGAAAGAAGAUAUUGCUCGCGUGGGCAGCUAUGAGAAAUCCACUAAGCCUGCUUUUGGGGAUGCUGUUGCGAUCUAUGUGCUUUUAAAACUAGAUCUGCUUGAAGUCAUGAACGUUUGUGCCAAGUUUGUUGAUAGCGGUAAAAAGGUUGUUUGCCCAAGUUCCUUUACGAAACAUACGACCCAAUAUAGAACUACUUUGCUUGCUAUGAUGCAUAUAUAGCAAGGCCGUCAAAGAGGUGGCCAAGAUUAUGGCAGCUAAAGCUUAUUCCUCAGUCGAGGAGAUUAAGAGGUUGGAUUCUGAGCUUGUUGCUUUGAAGUGGUCUAAUAUUUAUGCCCCUGCUUCUCUGCAGCUUGAGACCGCUCGCCACGAGAUUGUUGACUUGAAGACUAGGCUUGAUGCGAUCCAAGUUAAGUAUGAAAGUACAGAGAAUGAGAUUGAAUGUUACAAUACCUCAGAUUUAAGAUCUUGAGUUUGCAGUUUCUGAGCUUCGUUUUGCUGCUUAUGCAAAGGAUGAAAAGUUGAAUGCUGCUUAUGCUGAGAAGGGAGUAGAUGAGCUUCUCUAUUUCUCCGGAAGACUUGUUUGCUUUUACUUUUAAGGCUUCUAUUGGUGAAGUAGUUGGAGAAGUUAGUGCCCAGGCUGGGGCAAUCGGGGGUGAAGCGCCGGAUGAUGCCGCUGCUAAGAGCGUUACGGCUGUUGAAGGUGUGGCGACCGAGUAGUCGUGGGAUGUCCAAGCUGCUGUAGUGUAGUAUUCUAGGUAGCCUUUAGGAUUUUCCUUGUUUUUCCUUGUAGCUCUUGUUUUGCUUGAACUCCUUCGGCCUUUGCUAUUUGUUUAUAAAUAUGUUUUCCUUCGUUUUUCUUCAUCUUCGCUUAUUUUGCUCAUGCCCUAACCUUUAGACUUGAUAGACCAGUGGCAGGCAUGCUACUUUUUAUAAGCAGACAAGCUCGCGUAGCCUAUACAGCCGUAGGUGUUGGUGUAGAACUUUGGAAAGUUGUUAGCCAUAGGGUUGGCAGCCGGAUGCCUUACUUACAGAAGUAGACAAGUCCGCGUAACCACUAGGCUGUUAACCUUGACUUUCUUCAAUUCCGUAGGUUGCGUAACAAGUAUCACAACACUUUAGGACUUGGUGUAGGUUGUUCCGCGCUUGGCAGAGGUGAAGCUUAUCGACUACGUAGCAUGUCGGCAGUGGAUAUAACUUCGUAUAUGCGCUAGCUUGUUUAACCUUUUCACAAAAAUGUACGGUUGUAUAAGUCUAGCGCGGCUUUACUGCUCGAAGGGCAAGCCGUAGGCAGUCUUCCGGAAUCCGUAGGCUACCUUAGUGCACUCGGUAGCAGCUUUAGGGUUCCAGGGCAGCCGUCUAUAGGGCGUACUGCGUAAUGUGCCCCCUCCGUGUCUAGGGCCCGGUUCCUCACGGAUUAGGCCAAGAGACCCAAAAUCCUUCAGUUAGCUAAGCCUUGAAAAAGACCGUUGUGGCUACUUCUAGGAAUCCCGGCGCAAGCCAUCGUGCAUCUAGUUAUACUAGGGCAGCCAGGCUCAUCCACGUCUGGAUAUUCGGAGUGUAAAGUUUAUCCUCCCGUCUUGGAGAGCUGACCCAUAUGGGUGUCGGGGAAUUGGUUUACCCUCUCGCACUGGAGAGCAUGGGUGGUCCCUCGGGGGGCGCAAUUCCUGCGAUGAGUCCCUAAGAAGGGCGCAGUCUUCUUUUGAAGUGCAGGAAUGAUCAGUUGUUGUAAGCAUGCAGCCGAGCCAAGUUAUGAUUACUUUUGAAUUUCUCAUUGAAAAAUGAGUGAAACGAACGAGAACUUAACUGUAAGGUAGGAACUGCAUAACAACUGGAUAGUCCUCAGCUUGUGAGGUGGUGCCCGUCGAGCUGUUUGAGUCUUCAGGCUUUGAUGUAGCGGGAGGUCACACAUGGUACUUCCUCAGAUUGUAGGCGUUCCACUGUUUUUCGAUCUUUUUGUCGUUUCAUGGUGGCGAAGGUGUAAUUACUCUUGCCGCCUACUCUGUUGAUCUUGUACCGGCCUUCCCAGAUGGGAUCCAUCUUUUUGGAGUCCUCUCCGUGGGCAGUGAUGAAGGCUUUUCUUAGGACUAGAUCUCCGGGCUAGAACUACCGAAUCUUAGCUCUUUUGUUGUAGCUGGAGAAGAGCUGUUGCUGGUAGGCUGCAAUACGGGUAUUUGUAUGCUCGCGUUUCUCCUCUGCCAGAUCUUGUGGCUAUCUUCUCACUGUUCUGCUCAAUGCUUGGUAGUAGAGCGGUGAUACUUUGCUUGAUGACAUUGGGAUGAAUGAUUGCUUCUUAGCCAAAUGCCAAAUAGAAAUGAGUCUCACCGGUUGCUCGUCUUUUGGUGGUGCGAUAUGCCCAUAGACAUCCGGGGAGUUUGUCUGGCCAUUUUCCCUUCUUGUUGGUGAAGGAUUUCUUGAGGCAGUUAAUGAUCAUCUUUUUGGAUGUUUCGGCCCGCCUAUUGCCUUGAGGAUAUCUCGGCGUGGACAUAUGCUGCUUUAUGCCAUAUUUUUUGAAGAACUUCACCAAAUCUUUGCCCACGAAUUGCGGGCCGUCGUUGGUGACGAUGGAUUAAGGGAUGCCAAAUCAGUAAAUGAUGUUCCUCCAUAUGAAGCGCUCUAUGUCCGUCUGAAUCGUGGUCGUCAUGGGCUCUACUUCUACCUAUUUGGUGAAGUAGUCAGUUGCCACGAUCAUCAUGCCUUUGCCCCUAGUAGUCUGGCUGGUGAUUAGUUGGGAAUCAGAAUGAAUUGAAAGCUUUUUCACCGCCAAGUCUUUUUUCAUUCGAAGGCCUGCUAGUGGAGCUUCGUACUCUGCUUCGUUGUUAGAUGCUUUGAAACUUAGAGUGAUCGCCUGCUCGAGCAUUGAACCGUUUGGGGUGAUAAGAACCACGGCUGCUCGCGAGCCUUGUAGUUGGAUGCGCCGUUGACAUGCAAAUGCCAGAAAUCUCCAUUGAGGGAGUAAGUGCGGCUAAAGUGUGCUCGACUGCCUUCGGGGCGUCAUUAGGCUGCUCUGUUGCGUUGUCAAGGCUAGGCGUGAAGGCUCGGCAGGGAGCCGUGGAGCUAGGGCCAUGUUACAUGUAGCAGGAGAUGCUUAACUUUCGAUAUUGGGCCACUCUAGAGCUGAAUAAUGGAGUAAGGGUCGGCUAGGGCCGUGUGACGCACGGCAGAAGGUAGUGCUCAACUGCCGGUACAUGUUGCUCUUAUGUAGAAUCUUCUGGGACAACGAGGACAAAACUUGCUUCUAAGUGUUCCUUCUAAUGUUCUUCUGCCCUUGGCGUGUCUUUUAAGCUGAGUUGUUGUGUUCGUCAGAAAGCUUUGCAUCCACUAAGGUCUACUCAUUUAUCGUCGCACGUCUGGAUUCAGCAGAAUGGUGCAUCAUGAUGAUGACUGCGUGCGUUUGAAGGUAAAACUUGAGCUUUUAGGUUACAACAACUAUUGCCAAAGUUAGCUUUUGAAUUUCUGAUAACAUCAAUAAGAGCUUUUAAACUGUGGAAUACAACUAAUAGCAUCGAGGAGAGCUUUUAAAUUGUGGAAUAUAGGUAGUCGGGCCCCCAGCUCUUCUCGUAUGAUGGUAGAGCUUAUUUCUGCUUCAGAUGUGACUACUCGUCCAGUCAGAUUUUGAAUCUCCUUCAGAGUAGUGGGGAACUUCAUAUUCAAGAUAGUCGAACUUCGUCCCAAAGUGCAUGCUUUUCUGCCAGAGCGAAAGAGUCUGCCAGAGUUAGAUAUUCUUUCAUUAUAAGUUUUCCGAAUAGUGGGUGGUCCGCUGGAAGUCCUUUUUGGAAGGCUGCUCUAGCUAUCGAGUCGUUACAUUCGACUAUUUUUACCUUCUCUGUUUUGAACCUCCUCACAUAGUCUCGAAGCGACUCAUUUGGGUUUUUCUUGAUGUCGAACAAAUGGUCGGACUUCUUUUUGAUCGAGCGAUAGGAUGAAUAUUCUUUGGUGAAAACCAAAGAAAGUUCGUCAAAAUUCCGGAUAGAUUGUGGCGGCAGGGUGUAGAACCAAUCUUGCGCCUCGCCUUGUAGAGUGGUGGCGAAUAUCUUGCACAUGAGACCGUCAUUGUUUCGAUAGAAGAUCAUUGUGCUUCGGUAGUGCUUUAAGUGUCUCUCCGGGUCUUCAUCCCCUUUGAAAGAUGUGAAAUGUGGCAUGCUAAACUCGCGUGGAGGCUCUGCCUGCUCGAUCUUGUCCGUGAAGGGUGACCUGCUUAUGUUGGUCAUGUUCCGUCGUAGUGCCUCGUCGAUGACCUCAUUGCGUUGGAAAUUGCGCAAUCGCUUGGUCAAGAGUCUCUCUACUUCUUCCUGAAUUUGUUUUUGUUGAGGUAGCGGAGCUCUCGGCUGCCCCCAACCAUGACUUGCUGGUCUAGGCUGCUCUUCCAUGUGUUUGGCUUGUUUAUGCCCCGGAUGCAGUGCAUGUAGCGCGUUCCUAGCAGGCGAGCGAGUUCUUCGCAGGCUGCCGGUUGCACUUAAGCCGUAUUGAGUGACUGUUUCUCUCCAUCCGUCGGGCUGCCUAAUCCGAUGUGAGGUGGAUGAUGCUCAUUGAGGGCUUAACUGCAAACGAACACUUCGCCUGGAAGGCUGCUCAUGUUGACUAUCGGAGUGUGACCCUAACCGUGAAUGUAUGCUCGUCUGUGGGCCUGGUCGAGAGUGCACGCUCCUCCACGCUCUAAGACGGGAGUAUACGCUAUCUCGGGGGCCCAAUCGGGAGUGCACACUGCCUGAACGCUCGGUUCGUGACUGGUCGAGUGGCUGCUUACCGAGACGCUGCUGGAGAGGUUCUUUGUCUGCCCUUGUCCUACUUCGGGACACCUUAUCUGGGGCACGUUGCAUCUCGGUGCGCUGCAAGAGCCGAUUCACCAAGGUCGUCUGCUGUGCGAGGACGCUUGUCAACUCUAUGACUUGUCGAGACAAGUGUUGUUCUCCAUUUGGGUUGGAAGAGCUUGGAAGGAAUGUGCCUUCUUGGGCAAUGGAAGAGUGGUAAACUCCGGGCACGAGAUUUGAGUUGGGAAAUGUCAAAUUCGCGAAAAAAUAUGGUGAGAAUGCCCCCGGCUCGAUGGUAGGUCUGGAUGGUUGAGAUAGUCUUGGGCCGACUUGGGCUGCUUGGAAAGCCAUGGGAGCAGACUGGGCCGCAUGAACAGGCUGGGCCUCGAGAGCAAGCUAGGCUGCGAGAGUAGGCUGCUCGGCAGGAGCAGGCUGGGCCACGGGAGUGGGCUGCUUGGCUGGAACAGGCUGGGCCACGAGAGUGGGCUGCUCGAUUGGAGCAGGCUGCUCGGAGUGUGAUGCACAUGGGUGCGAGGUUUGGGCUUGGCUUGGCAACGCGUUAAAUUCACGUUGGGCUUGGAGUGACAUGGCUUGGGUCGUGGCCUUGGUGCCGUGAUCCUUGGAUGGCACGGCUCGGGCCGUGGUGAAAGCACCAUGGACCUCACCACGGGUGACUACCGAGGUAGCCACCGCGGUGGUUCCCGUGGUGGAAACUCGUGGUGGUGGUGCCGCUCCACUUAUUGUCGCAUUUAACCUCACGGAUCUCCGCAAUCCCAUUUCUUGAAUAUUAGAAUUUUCACUUGUGGAAUUUUCUAAAUUUCUAGCCAUUAUAUUUUUCUUAUACGUUUUAUCAAAGAAACUUUGCAAGUAAAAAAUUCUAAUAAUAAGAACGUAUGAAAAAUAUUCAAAUGGACUAGAAAAUAAAGAAAAAACCUUUUUGUGCGAGAGUCUUCUACGAGUAUGGAUUUCAACUCUCAAUGAAAGCACCAAUUUGUCGAUGCAAAUUUUCUCCUCCUCGAUCUUGGACGAUUUUGCACCUACAAAACAACUAGCACCUUAGGUUAAGGCCAAAAGCCUCACGUGCCCACGAUAAAUGGGGGGGCUUUGGCCGAAGAACCUCCGAUGCCAAAGUUAGAAUUUUAGAGAGAAAUAGUGUUUAGAGUAUUUGGGAUUUUUUGCAAGAGGUUUGGAAUGGGUGUUUGGUGAAAAUGGGUCCCUAUUUAUAGGACUAAGUUGGUCCACUUUUCAAAGGAAGUGGCUGGCCACUUUGUCCAUUUUUUGGUGAAUUUGUGGUUUAAUUAGCCACUUUAUUGGCUAAUAAAAUAUGAUAGAAAUAAAUGGGGGGUUAUCAAAUUGAAUGAUUAGCUUUAUUUGGGUAAUAAAGUGGGAAAAGAUAGGGAAGGUAGAAAGCUAAGGGGAUGGCCGGCCAUGUAGUGUUUUAGGGUUGAAUUGGAUGUAUUUUGUGGUUAUUUGGAUAUAAUGGAUGGUUUAAUUGACAAUUAAUGGGUUAAUUAGGCAAUAAACCCAUUAAUUAGCCAAUUAACAUAAAAUGUGUUUGGGAAUUACCUUGUAGAAAGGAUUUGAUGAGAUGAACUUUGAAUUGUUACCUAUUUUGGGCACUUCUGUCUUGGUUGAAAGAGGGUUGCCCGCUGCUUGCGCAUAGGAACCUUGUUGUACUGCAAGGGUAUUUUUGUCCUUUUUGUCAAAAAAUCCACGUGUCGCCUUGUGAAUAUUUUUGGCUCCACAUUAACCUUGGUUUAUAUUUGUCUCAAAUCUUAAUCAUCUUGUUUGGGCGAUACUCACACUCUAGACUUGUAGAGAAAAUCCACCAUUUUGAACAAGAUGGGCUUUAAAGAUCUAUGCGAAUCUAAAGAGUUGUGAGUUGUGAGUUUUAAGGUUGUUUUUUCGACUAGUAUUUUGAAUAAAUCAGUUUCAGUUUGUUGGGUUUGUAUUUUAACCUUUUGAAGAAAUUUACUGGUGUUAGAGUCAUAGGUCUUGUUUUCGCCCACAAUCUCAUAUCAGAUGCAAAAUCACGAUAUCCACCAUAGAAACCUCAAACUCACUUUGCUUUUUUUUUUUUUUUUUUUUUUGUGCUUUGAUUUUUGGGUGUUUAAUAGUUUGGAUAUGUUCUUCUAUAUGAGAUGAACUUGCCCUCAAAUUUUCAUGCAAAAAAGUGCCACAGUUUAAGAGAAAUCACAAAACCAAAUUCUAUGUAUUUCCUAAAUCUUAGUUUUUACAGCCGUUUUACGAGAUGAUUUUGAGGCAUCGAGGGUCUGUUUUCCUUUUAUUUUUUGCACGGGUUUUUAUUUGUAAUCUGGACAAGUAUCAAAGAACUAGAGUGUAAUCAAUUGGAUUUCAAGUUUUUAAAAGACCUUUUUAAGUGAUAGAUUUCAAAAGAUUGUAGAAUCCUUACAACUUUCAAAUGGAUUUUCAAAGAUUCUUAUGAACUUUGAUGAAAGAUUUGAAUGAAUUUUGAGAGAUUUCUUGUUAUUUAAAAAAUUAUUUUUUAAAUAGAAAAUAAGAUUAAAAAAUGAAAAAAAAAAUUUUGAAGACUUUGCCUAGUUCUCUCUAGUAACCCUAAGCCUCUAUGGUCCUCCACGAGUAGAAAAAUUUAAUUACAAAUUAAUAAGCUGCCCAAAAUUUAACUUCCGCCGUAAUCAUUCAUGAAAGCAAGAUUUAGAAGGAUUCAAGAUGUGGGUAGAUAAAAUCGUUGGGUUGAGGGCUUCCCUGACAAAUCCACCCAUUAAUGUAAAAUGUCUUGCCAUCCAAGAUGAACUGAGUCUCAUUCCUGCCCACAAAACUCUAACUUCGUUUCGUCGCAAAAAUUCGACCCCGAGUUACUGAAAGACAUAUGGAUGAAAGCCACACACGACGUGAAUCCGAUAAUUUGGUAGAACAUGUCAUUUCUUGUCGCCACAAUUUUAUUCUCCUUUGCAGAGGACAAGAUCAUCAACAGCCCCAAAGUUUAAUAAUUUGAUUGUGGGUUAGAAUUAAUCUCACCAGGAAGGAUUGAAUUUGAAAGUUACAUUUGCAGUGGAUAAUUUGCUUGAGCUAAUUACCUUUGCGUCUACAGGGGGUUCUACACCUCCAAAAUGCAAUCUAACAAGAAGAAAAUAGUACGUUUAUGAUCUACUUUCAUUUGGAUGAUCAUGAAAGUUGCCCUUCUUUUCUUCGUUCAAUUCUUAACUUUUUUGAGUUUUAUCAAAAACAUGAGUAUUGAAUUUGUGAAAUUAACUGGUACUCAGAUGAGAUUAUGAUCCUCAUAACCCAGUUAUGAACACCUAAAUCCUUAUCUUGCUAAGAAAUGUAUAUUGAUGUCCUGAUAUAUAUACAAGUGGAAAAGGAAAGAGAGAAGUUUAUGCAGCAAGUGUUGAGGAAGGUCUGAGGACAUGUGUGGAAUGCGGUAGAGAAAUCAGAGUAAUCAUACAUAUGUUAUUAGCUAAUCAUGCAUGCUUAUUCCGGUGUUGUACUCGCCUCGGGCCAAGGCCAAUUUCACAUGUAUGUUCACAUCGCACCGAUACGUACACCUUAUAUUCAUUGUAGAUGUCAGUCUGUACUAGACUGCAAUAGGCAACGUCUUGUAUGUGACAUGCUUAUCGCCAUCUUCACAUGAUUGUGACACUAGAGUGUAGAUAAUUUAUUACAAACAGCCUGUCUCAUGUCAAAAUAUCUUUGUGUGUCAACAUAUGUCGAUGAGUAUUUGAUAUUUUAUGUUUUCAUUUCAUAGAUAAUGUGAUUUACCGCGUUAGUGAAAUAUUGCUUUUUACAGUACUUGUUUCCAUACUAUACGUAGUUUGAUAUGUUGGAAACUAAUACUUGUUUUAUAGUUGUUGCAUAAAUAUCAAUAAUCAAUGAUAAAUUUAUAUAUGCUAAUAAAUAAUUAAUGCGAAUGAAUAAUUCAACAGAAUAUGAACAAAACGAAAUAAUAUUCAAACAGACAAACUGAAGAUUGAGGCUUGCAUACCACAAUGUCCUUGAAACAGAAAUUCCAUACCUACUCAGUGCUUGUAGUUCUAUAGACGUCUGCUUCAUCAGGAUUCAACGAUCUAAGUCAAGAAUCCAACACUGGAAAACUAAACUUCUGGUGAAUUUCUUUGUGGUUCUUUCAGUAAGAAGGUUUGGAAUUGUAGAAGUAGAAUUUGAUUUUUUUGUGUACUAAAUGUCAUGUAGAUGGAUAUAUAUAUAUAAUAUGUUUAUGCCUAUUCGCAACAAGUAUGAGAAUGAGAUGCGUCUGUUGGGAGAUAUCUUCUCAGAGAGGUGCUUUGCUCUUUGGCAUUCUUUCAUCACUUCAGACUUCAUCUGAAAAGAUGAGUAUGUUGAUAAAAAAUAAUAAUUAAUGAAUUAAAUCUGAAAUUAAUUAAAAAUAAUUAAUUAAAGAAUUUAAUUAUUAGAGCUCGUAAGGCCUAUCUUUUGAUACUUAAUUGUAUAUUAAUUAGCACACCCAAACUCAAGGUUUAAGCCCAAUGUUACUCUCCAAGGUCCAACACUUCAAUCACUUUAUACUAGGGAGAAAGCCUUCUAAAGUGAGAGAACAUUUUGGUGGUGACCAAUGUGGAACAAUGUAGAAUGAAGAUUUCUACUCAAAAUUUCCAACAAUAGUGAAGGGUUACAACUUUAACGAAAACAACGACUUUGCGAAACUUUGCUUUUUCAGCUCACUCACCUUUGUAUUUCGCCCCUCCAUGAUUUUAGUGGCAGAGCACUUGUGACGACGAUGAUUUCUGACAACGUUGACGUGUAGGAGGUUACUCUUGAUGGUAUAAUGCUUAUUUUACUUUUACUACUAUUUGUCUUAUGCUCUGACACUCACAUGCACACUCUUGUUAUAGUAAUUUUUAGGUUUUAAUUUAUUCAUAUUUUUUCACAUCAAUAUAUUUUUUGGCUUCAUUGCCUUUGAAGUGUCGGUCUGCACAACUCUAUUCAGUGUCCAAUUGGACAUUCUGAAUCAGAGUGUGUCAAGCGGGGUCAUUUUGCUUCAACUUCAAGAGGAAAAUAAUGGCCUUGGCAAGUGAAGUCUAGUUUUUUUAUUUUGCAAUUAGAUUUUUAACAUGAUGUAACUUUGUGAAUGAUCUUUAUUGGAUCGUCAUUAUGUUCGGGAUAUUUGGAUUUUUAUUUAAGAAUAUUGCGUUGUUGAACUUGAAUGGCAUGUAUUUUGGCUGUUUAUUAUGCAUGAGCGUGGAAUUGUUGUUAAAUUAUAUGUUUUGGUGCAAGUACUAAUAUAUAUUUUUAUUAAUCAUUAUUUUAUGCAAUGCAAGUCUCGAACAUAGCGCGACAUCACAAACCAGUACCUCCAACGUAAGUCGAUGUAGAAAUCAGGGAGAACAUAUUUUUAUUGAAAUUCUAAUGCAACACGAUGCUUAUCUUAGACAAUGCUCCCGAUCACAUUAAUUUGGGCUCUUUCAUGUCAACUACCCAAGUAAUCACUAAUGAUUCCACUAUUGUAAUUUGGAAUUUAUUUCCUUAAAUUACCUUUACAUGCUCUAGCAAGAUACUACUGAGUCAUUUAAAAGAACAUUAUUUCUCAAUUUUAAGGGUUCAAAGAUUUAUUGUUGUACAUUCACGUGUCUCCAUGAAUAAAACCAAUGACAUGGAUAAUGCACUAAGAGAAAUACUAAGGAGACUCUACCAAAAUGGGACUCUCUGCCAUGUCAUUGUUUUGAAACAAUGUUUUAUAAUGUUGGUACGAGAAUUGUGCAAAAAACAUAAAGUGGUGGAAAGUUCCACUUUUAAGAGAAUUUCCUUAGCAUUUCUCAUGCACUAAACAAGCCCUUGGCCAUGAUGUGUGUCACAAAGUCAAUGACCUAUCCACAAGAAAAUUGUGAUGAUCUAUUAAGCACCUAUGUAUCUAUUUUAAUGUCACCACACAAUGAUAUGAGAUGAGUCAUCAUAAACAUAUAAUACAUACUGGUCUUUGCAGUUUAUCAACGUUCACUUUACCUAUUCUAAAGUUGAGGAGGGAUCUACAGUUAAAUGAUUGACCCUUGAUUUUGUUUUAUUUACACCACUGCCAUCAUAUAUGGCUGGGUUGAAGGGUAAUUAUAAAAAAAUUAGGAGGGCAAUUUGGGCUCUGUGUUUGGGGUUAGGGGUGAUGUCGGUGUCACGGACAAGUUUGAGGUUUGUGGGUGGGUGUAGGAUUUCAGGGAGAAAAAUGGGGAGAAAUUCUGGGAGAAAAAGGGAUUGAGCGGUCAAUUUGGGGAGAGAGAUAAGAGAGCGUGUUUUGGGGAUUAGAUACCUGUACACAGUUGAACUUUUUGUUUCAUCACUUUUUCUGGCGGUUCUUUUUCAUUAUUUCAGAAAUUGAGGAUCCAUUUGAAAGACAAUAGCAACGAUUGAAAUUAGGGUUUAGGUACUUUUAAUCAUAAUCCAUGCCUUAUGUUCUCAUAAUUCAUCAUUCCAGCGUUGUUUUCUAUCUUGAUUCUUGCACUAGUUGUUACUCUUGAAAAAAUCACGUAGAAUUCAUAUGCUUUGGUAUGGUUCAAAAUGAUAUCAUGUGAAGAAGUUUCAUCACUGUUUUGAUAUCGUGACUUUCAAUGUGCUUAAGAACUUAUAUGCAGUUGCAUUUUUCUCUGCGCACUGCAGUUGAUAUCAUGACUUUCAAUGUACAAAUUUGAUGGUUUUAAUUGUGGAAAUAGGGUUGAAUUGAUUUUGUUAUCAAUUUAGCCCAGAAAAAUUGAAGAUUUUUUGUUUAUGCCUACAAGCUUGGUUUUUGAGUGGUUUUUGGUCAGGGAAUUUAUUUUGUGCUUAUAGUUCAUGUAUUAUUAAAGUUUUUGUUUAGUUUUAUAUUGGGUUGUGGAUGCUUUGACAAAAGAUGUUGCCUGAGAUUUAAAGCAUAUGUUGGUUGUUUUUAAUUCUACCAUUAAAACUCAUGUUGUCUGUUUUUAAUAUUUGGUGGUAAUUUUAGGUGUUUAAUUCUUCAUGUAAUCUCUGUGAUCCCUAAAAGAUGAAUGUGAACAUACAAGCUUGAAUAACGCAACAAAAGCAAGAUUAAAUAAUUAUCGAUGUCGUCAAAAUCACUAAAACAAUAAAAAAAAUAUGAAGUCUUACCUCAUGUGAAGCUUCCGAAAUAUCGAUUUCGUGUUUCAUUCAUCAAAUUUUUUUUUCUCAAUCAACAUGUUUGUAGUUUCAUUGAUUAGAGUUUUGUUCAAUAAUGGAGGGUCGAAGGGGUUUUGAUAGUUGAAGAAGAUAAAUAUGUCGUUAAAAGUGAUUUGGGGUGUAUUUAGAUUUUUUUAUUUUAAACCUAAUAAGGUCAAAAUUGUCAUUGCAUAGUAGAGUAAAUAAGUCAUUUAAUAUUAAAUUUUAAUGUGGGUUGCAUUCAACAUUUUGUGGGGUGCUAAUAUAAAAAGCCAAUAUCUUUUGAUGAAUGAAAUGAAAAUGACAAUGAUAAUGAAAUAUGGUUAAUACAUUAAAAUUAGGAAGAAAAAGAGAAAUAAUUAAAACAUCAAAAUAUAAUUAAUAAAUGAGGUGAUUAAUGUAUCAAGAGACUAAAAUUAGAUUUUGAUCUUAAUCACGGUUUUAGUCUAAAGGCUAAAUUGGAUUAAUGUCCUCGUGGUAAUAGGGUAAUCGGAAGAUAAUCCCCGUGGUUAAAACAUUCGGAUUUAAACCCUAAGUUCCGUUAGGAUUUAAACCCAAAAUUAACAUUCCCAUUAACCCACUCCAUCUUUUUUCUAGAUUACCCUAUUAACAUUUCCAAAUAGUUAAUUUAGCCUACAAAUUAACUAUUAAUCCAAUUAAGUAAAUUAAUCAUUAAUUUGUUGGCUGUUUUUGUUGGAUUAACAUUUCUUGAUUGGUUUUAGAAAUGAUAAAAUCUGAACCAGCCAACAAAAUCAAUCGAUGGUUCAAACUAAUUCGUUGAGAAUCACACACCAAUCAAGCAAAACAAAACCCAAGAAACAUGAAAAGAGGAGCAGCAGGCAGACCUCAUCAUCAUCCGCUAAAGAAUUAUCUUUGUUUGGGGUCUGAUUGUUUUAUCUGAAAAAGCAAACAAUGAAGGGAAGCUGAAGAGAGAGAUGAGAGAAAGGAACAGGAUUUCUGAGGCAUAUAUGAAGAGAACAAAGUGAACAGUGUUCUAGUAAGCACCAUAUUUUCAGUCGGCUCCAGAAGAAAGAGAGGCUCUGUACUUUGUGACUUGAGUUGGCAAAACUAUAGCUACAAUGCAGGCUUGACGCCAUCAGAAAUCUUUAUUUCUCACACUAAUUAUUUAAAUUUGCUAUUAAUUUCUUUUAUUUUGGAGCAGAAAAUUAUUAGUUAAUUAACAUGUUCCCUAACUAUAGCUGUAACUGUUUUUUUUUUUUUUGGGUAACAAUAACUGUAACUCUAUGAUUUGGAUGGUGGGAUGCAGACAAAUAUCCAUUUGGUUGCUCCAGGCCAAAAGUCUAGAGGGAAUGAGAGAGAGACGGGAUGCAAAGAAGCAGGCGGGGAGAGGCAGAACCAAAGUAGGAAAAAGACGGGGGUGGGGGUGGAAAUGUUAACGGAAGUUGAUAUUAAUGUUAAUUUUGGACUUGAAUUCUAACCGAACUUCACCAUGAAGGUUUAAAUCCAAAAUUUUUCACCACGGAGCCUAAUCUAAAAGUCAUCAUUGCCAAUGAUUAGAAUGAAGUUUCCUAUUAUAUUUUUUUUUAUAAACUAUAGUAUGUCUCAUGUACUAUUCAACAAGUCUCACUUUAUUCUUCUAACGUAGUGACAUAUUUGCACAAAAUAAUGAGCGAUUGGGCCAAGCCACAAAAUAUACCUUUCAUAAUAUAUUGGUAUGAAUUUCAUUAUUAACGAAAUUCAAACCUAAUAUUUUUCACUUAUACCGAAUAAAUAAAUCAAGAUCAUUGUUGACUUAUUACAAAAAAUAUCUUCAUUAUUUUCUCGUGGAUAUCAUUGAGUUUUUGUUGGAGAUUAACGGACGUUGCAAGUUGGUGGAUAAGUUGAGUGCGUAGCAAGACAAAGGCCUGAGAAAAGGAUUGUAUUGGCAUGGUCCCAUUGCUUAAUUGAUUUUGGAAGGUCCUUCAUUGAGUGUGGGGGGCCACUACGUGUCCUUGUCUCACACUGCACAAGGGGGAAUAUGGUCCAUUACUUGCAGAAGUUUCGGGUGUCACUGUUUUAGACAAUCGUAGAAAAUGGAUAAGGUGGAUUCUCUCCGAUCCUCUAUGUGAGAAUUUUAAGUAUCCUUAUAUAUUAAUCGUUCAUUAAAUAUUAUGUGAUCAGUUUUCGUUAAAUAUUAUUUAUGUUUACUUUUAAAUAAAAAUUUAAAAUAAUUUAUGACUGCACAAUAUACGAUAAACGAUUAAAAUGUGAAGAUUUCUAAAAUUUUUACUAUUUAAAUUCGGAUAUGAUCCAAAUCCGUGGAAAAUUCCACCCCUUCUAGAAACGUUGAAAAAACACCCUUCAGCUGGCCAGCUGUGUGAUGUAAAAGGAUCUAUAAAGUUGCCCUUUUAGUUGCGAGUUUUGAAAGUCAAAUCUUAAAAAAUUGAGCUAAGCUAUAAUGGCGUACCUGUUUGCUUCAUAUUCCGACGUCCAUAAUUCCGUGUAGGUAAGGUAAGGGAACUGUUUGGUCGUCGAGGAGUACUUGUAAUAUUCUCUGAAAUAUUUUUUUGUGUUGAUUUUUUCAUAAUUUUUCGAAAAUUCUUGUAGGCUAAUUUUGACAUUUUGAGUCUGUUUUUUUACAUCUAUUUAGUAAAAUUUCAAAGUUUUAACGUAGUUGAUCGGCUCUGCAACUCAGUUGACUUUUUAGAGUUAAUCGUUGACCUUCUAGUUGACUUUUUACAAAAAUUUAACGAGGACCUUUCUUAGCGUAUUUUGACGCCUUAGUUCCAAAUCCGCACUCCAUUUUCCCGAAUUUAAUCAUUUUAGUUGAGUUUUACUAAUGGACCUCAAUAUUAUGUUUAGGUGUGAUUACUAUUGGAGACUCUGGCCUUCCUAGUUCCACCGGCUAUGACUUCGCAAGUAUUUGUAAAUGGGUCUUUUCUUUUAUUUAGUAUAUAUAUUAUUUGAGUUUCUAUACAUAGAUUAAUAAUGCAUUUUCUAAGUGAUUUCAUAAUUCAAUUGACAUUAUAAGAAUUGUUGCAAUGAUGAAAAUUGUGAGAUUAUUAUGAAUCCCAAGGGAUGCACAGGUAUGCAUAUUAUUGCAAGAUACGUUAUUUAUAUUACGGAAAUGAAUAGUAUUAUGUCAAUGUAAAUUAUUGAUUUACUAUUGUAUGAUUUUAUUUACGUUAUCUGCUCAUCGUUGUUGCACCGGUGUAGUACUCGCCCAGGCCAGAGCCAGUCUUUCACAUGUAUGUUCACAUCGCACCAUAUGCUCACUUUGGAUCUAUUGUAGGUGCCAGUCCUGUCCUAGAUUGCUAUAGGCAAUUAGGACUCGUAUGUGAUGUGCAUAGCGCCAGUCUUCAUGUGAUUGUAGUACUAGAGCAUAAAUCAUUAUUACACCCAGUCAUGUUCAUGUCAGAAUAGCUCUGCAUGAACUCUUGUGUUAGCGUAUGUCGAUAAGCAUUCAAUGUGAUAUGUUUAUUUCUGCGAGAUAUUGUGAUUACUGGAAGUUAUAUGCCUAUUUACGAAUUUUGUGACGUAUUGAAUUCUUGAGAUAUUGCAGGCUACAGUAAGUAUUUUCAUACUAUACGUAGUAUGUAUAUUUUGGAAACUAUAUUUGUUUUACAGCGAGGGGUUAUAAUGUUUUCAAAAAUGUUUUUAUAAAACUUUAUCUUUAGGCUCACUCAUCCUUGUUUUUUGCCCCUCCAGGUUUAGUAGCUGAGUUUUCGUGUUGACGAGGAUUUAUGGCAAAACGUUGUUAUGGGAAUACUCCUGACGGUAUAACUCCUCUUUCACCUUUACUGUACUUUACUUAUGCUCUGACAUCACGUGUGAAAUGAGUUCAUUCUCGCUCACAAGCGCACUUUUACAUUUAGGCACUUUUAGGUUUAAAUUUACUCACAUUUUCCACAUCACUACACUUUAUGGCUUCAUCGCAUUCUUGGUGUCGGUCAGCAUAGCUUGAUUCGGGGUUCAGAUGAACAUUCCGGGUCGGGGUGUGUCAUUAUUUACACUACAUAUUAAUAACACUAUGUUUCUCAACCCAAAAACUAAUGAAAUUACUAUUAUACCCAUUUAUACAUAAUUGAAAGAAAAUAUUAAAUUAAAAAAUAUUGGUGUUAAAGUAAUUUCGCACAAACAAUUUUUUCCUUUCCUCACCCACAUGUAACCACAGUUUUACAACUCUUACUCAUCUACCCUCUCUCCUAUUUCCUACUUUUUCCCUCUUAUUUUUGUUAAUUUUUAAUUUUAUUUUAUUUUGAUUCCAAUUUCCUUUUCAAAUUAUCAUAUAUUUAAACACACUCACUAUAUCUGACUUUAUCUAGUGUUAUUAAAAAUGGUUGUUCUAGCCAAUUAGUAUUACGGUCUAGUGAUAUUCUUCUUUACAUGUAAGUGAGAAGUCUUAGGUUCGAUUUUGCUAAAGAUGAAUUUGAACCACAUUAUUACUAGGUCAUUACAAGGCUAAGUCCGCUCCCUCAUUCUUAGUAUAAAUAAUAUCGUUUAUUUAAAAAAAAAAAAAGAUUCUACAAAAUUCAAUUCAAUUUACUAACCAAUUUAAAAAAAUAAUGGCUCUCUAUGGGUGAAACGGUAUUAAGAGUAGAGUAAAUUGUAGCAUUAGUCUCUGAACUUUAAUCAAAUUGGAGCAAUGGUCCCUCAACUAAAAAUCCAUAACCAUUGGUCCCUCAACUUAUCAAAAUGUGUAGCUAUAGUCAUUUUCAUCAAUUUCUUCAAAAUUUUGUCAAAAUAAGUUAUGUUGGGAUAACCAUUUAUAUAAUUAAGGUCCCUCAACUCAUCAAAGUGUGUAAUUAUGGUCCUUUUCGUCAACUACGUCAAAAUUUUUGUCAAAACAAGUUAUGUUGGAAGGACCAUUGCUACAAUUGGGUUAAAGUUAAGGGACCAUUUCUCCAGUUGAAUUAAACUUGAGGGACCAAAGGUAAUGGAUUUUUAGUUGAAGAACCAUUGCUCCAAUUGAGUUAAAGUUAAGGAACUAUAGCUACAAUUUACUCUUAAGAGUAAUAUGAUGGAUAUAUAAGGACGUCUGAUAAGUUUCAUGAUCAAAAUUUAGGUUUUCAUCAUUUUAGCCAAUUGUCAAUCAAAUUUCCUUAGUAGAUGUCUGAAAGAUGAAACAGUUUUGGAGAGAACCACUUUAAAAUAACAAUUAGAAAUCCUCAACCGCCAAGACGACCAACCACUAAGUAAAACGUACACUAAGUAGACCUGGAAAGUGGGCAGUGUUUUUCGUAUUUGUGUUAAGUUGUUAACAUGUUGUCUUAAUGACUCAUAUUGUGUUGACAUGUUAAGCUAAUGGUGGAAGAAUCUUGAUCCGAUGAGUCAUUAAAAUAACGUGUGAUCCAACUUGAUCUGUUAAAAUAAUAAAAGAAGGCCUACUGACGCUCCAGUUCGAAGAUGUGACUACGGGACAGAGGUUCAGGGCCGAAGGGGUAGAGGAAGACCUAGGAAAACUUUGGAAGAGACCCUAAGAAAAGACUUAGAGUACUUGGAUUUAACGGAGGAUAUGACACAAAACCAAGCGCAAUGGUGUUCUAGGAUUCACAUAGCCGACCCCAUUUAGUGGGAAAAGGCUUUGUUGUUGUUGUUGUUGUUGUUGUAUCAUGAAACUCACCAAGUCAAAGAAAUGUAUGGCUACUUACUUACCUAAUGGGAAACAUAUACUUUCAGGCUUGAGCCACUUUAACCGAACGGAUCAAUAAAUUGUAGACACCGGAAUACUGAAUGCUAGUCAUACAUUCCAUACAUGAGUCUCUUAACAAGUUGGAAUAGACAUGCUCCUGACGAGUAUCCAUGAGUGACCAUUUGGAACCGUUCGUUAACUAAUUACUAACGGGUCCGUCAGCUUUAAUCCAAACUUACUAAGCGCAUCUCCAAUAACGUGUCCGCUCUCUUAAAUCCAAACAUAUUAAGGCUCAACUCAAACAUUGAAAUUUUCGUUUCGUAUAAAUGGAUGGUGUGCUAUAUUGCCAGGUCUUACUCUAAGGUUGAGGGAAGAAAAAUGGUUUAAGUCCACCAAGUAAGAAGUCAACUUUAGGCUUGGGGCGGCUUAAACACACAAGCUUGUUUACCCCCUUUUUUUUUUUUUUUUUUGAACAAAAGCUUGUUUACUUGAAUAGAGGGUUACACUCGACUUUUGGUUGAUAGAUUUUUGUGCAUCAAUUUACCUAAAUUGAAAGAAAAAAAAGUCUUCUCACUUAACAUGACGAUCUAAGUAGUAAUUUUCUGGACUUAUAAGUGAGAGAUUUUAUAUUUGACUUGUUAAUAGCGAGUUUGAUAAUACAUUAUUAUAUGACUAAUUCAUUGUGUAACUUAGCUGAAAUCUCUCACCUCUCUUAGUGUAAACAUACUAUUGUAUCAAAAACUAAAAGUAAAUUGUAUCUAGGCCCAAUUUUUUUUCAUCUCUGAGACCCAACAACCCAAUUUUUCCCACCAAACUCCCAAAUUUCCUCCCUCUUCUCAUUGAGUUUAAAUCGUCUGCACACAAAACUCUUUGUGACCUCUCUAUGCUCUAUCUACUUCAGCGACAGGUGUCAUUUUGACUUAAUUUACUUUUAGUUUUUGAUUUUUUUUUAUUGAGGAGAUAAAUUGAAGAAUUAACAUUGUUAAAUGUGGUUUAAAUGACUGAUCAGGUGUUAAUAAAGGAGAUAGAUGAUAAAUCACACAAAAACCGCAUAAGAUUUUGGGUGCAGAUGAUUUGAACUCCUUCUCAUUAGCCUUGAGAAGAAUAAGAACCACCAUGCUCUGCCACUUCGGCUUCAAACAUAGCUCCACUCUAUGCUCCUGUCAACUUCUGUUCAAAUUAGCCUUUCUCUUUUCUGAUUGGUUGGAGUGAACUCAUUCUAUUUUUCAGAAGGACGAGACUUUAAAACGCAGAAAGUAAUCUUCCCACGCUUGAAAGCCAAGUACAUAACGUGAACCAAAUGUCAAGCGAGAUACCAUAACAUCCCACGAUUACUAUAAAACCAAAAGUUUGGAAGAGAUCGACCACAAAACAACUGAAAGAUACCAAAAAAAAAAAAAAAAAAAACAUUCACAUUAUUACUGCUUGCAAUUAUUUCAAAUUAUGGAGAAUAUUGAGAGGAAGAGGUUGGCCGUUUUGGUGGGGUGCAAUUACCCAAACACCAGAAACGAGCUGCAUGGUUGCAUAAACGAUGUGCUCGCCAUGAGAGACACACUUGUGAGUCGGUUUGGGUUCGAUCCGAGCGACAUUCAGCUGUUGACUGAUGCAGCAGCAGCAGAUGCUGGUUCUGGUGGUUCCUCAUCAGUUUUGCCAACAGGUGCAAACAUUAAGAAGGCACUUGGUGAAAUGGUUGAUCAGGCUAAACCAGGUGAUGUCUUGUACUUUCAUUACAGUGGCCAUGGAACAAGGAUUCCUUCAUUGAAACCAGGCAACCCCUUCAGGCAGGAUGAGGCAAUUGUGCCUUGUGAUUUCAACCUCAUCACUGGUGGGUGUUUAAAAUUACUAAUAUGCACUAUAUCGUGUCCUUUUAGUCUAGUUAUUUAAUUGUUCUAUUUAAUUUCUCUCUUAUAUGUUAUACUUCAGGUAAUGAUACAUGCAUAUGGAUCAUAUUGUUUAGUCACGUUGUAGUUCACACCACUAACAGGAGUGAGACCCGCUCAUACGAUUACGACUCACUUUUAUUAGAAAUGUGGUCUACAAUGUGGUGCAAAUAGUUUCAUACUUUCUAAUUUACCGAAAAUAGUUAUGUAUGUUUUUAUGGUAAAAUUGUGAUAGUGAGAGAAUUUAUAUCCUUAAGAGUAUAUGUAAUGAUACUUUUAAAAUGCUUAAAAACGCUUUUAAAUAAUUAAAACAUUUUCACUUGCGCAUUUGGCAGAAUAAUGUAAAAUGUUUUUAAUUACAAAAACAAUUAUAAUUCUUUCUAGAUAAUCACUUGAUUUAAAAACCAUUUUCUCCUUUCUAUAGUUUUUGUUUUUUUGUUUUUUUUUUUAAUAAUAAGAAAAACGCUCAUAAGCGUAAGUGUUUUGGACACCUCCUCUAAUUUGAGUAGUCAUAAUAACACAUUGGUAAUUCACCAUGUAGAUGUUGAUUUUAGACAAUUAGUGAACCGUUUGCCGAAGGGAGCAAGCUUUACAAUCCUAUCAGACUCAUGUCACAGUGGAGGCCUCAUUGAUAAGGAGAAGGAGCAAAUUGGACCUUCUCAUGUCACUGAAACUAGUAACAAAUCAUCAUCUAUUUCCUCCAAGUCCUCCAAGCCGAAGGCCAUUCCCUGCGAGACCAUAUUGCACCACCUCUCAUCCUUGACGGGAAUAAACACAUCCGAUAUUGCAACCCACUUGCUAGAGUUGUUUGCAGCCGACGCCAGCCUCAAGUUUCGCUUGCCUCCGCUUGAAGUCCUCGACAUGUUCGAGUCAUCUAAGCCCGAUGAAGGAAUUCUACUCAGCGGGUGUCAAGCAAAUGAGACUUCCGCGGAUGUAACGAACGCGGUUAUGACUGGUGGCAAGCCGUGUGGAGCAUUCAGCAAUGCGGUCCAAAUGGUGUUGAAGGAUCACGAGGUUGAAUUAAGCAACAAAAAGCUCGUGUUGCUUGCGCGACAAGUUUUGAAAGAACAAGGGUUUGAGCAGCACCCUUGUCUCUACUGCAAUGAUGAGAAUGCUGAUGCUACUUUCUUGUCGCAAUCUCAAGAGUAGCUCAAGCUUAUGAAACAUAUAUUGGAUAUGAUGUGAUUUGUCAAAAAAUUAAAGUGUAUUAUUAUUGUUUGAUUUUACAAAUAAAGAAGCCGCUGAUAUUGCUAUUCCUUUGGCAACUUCAGAGCUCAAGUUUAUCAGAAUCUCUGUUGCUCUGUUGUUUCUUUGUUCAGCUCAAGUUCCGUUUCCAUCGAGUUCUUCGGUAGAAUAAGUUCUUAUUUGUCGCAUCGAUAUUAAGAAAAAUCACAAAGCUUCUUACAUUCAAUAUUCAAGAAUAAAUAUUGCUAUACACAAGUAAUCUGGAAAAUGUAUCCAAAGCCAAACAAAAUUACACAAAAUGUAUGAUACCUAUAACAAUAACAAGACAGAAAGAGGACAAAUUUUGUCUAACUUUGGCUGUAAUGUUGUACACUCGACUAUCUAUUUAACAAUUUUGAAGGUACAGUAAAAUUCCUUAUCUCCUUUGGAAGUUAAGGUACUUGAUGCCGUAGGCAAAGACGAAGAAGAAGAGGAGGACCCAACCAAGAUGAGCAAUGACGACAGGGAUCAGAAAGUCGUAGUCAAAACCCAAGUAGUUUUUGAGAAAUACAUCAAUUUUUUGUGGUCCUUGAAUAGGAAUGUCGAUGUUAGUCUUCAUGUCACCAACUUGAGAUGUGAAGAUACCAUAGAUUGUCCAGGCAACGGGAGAACCCCAGUAGUACCACCUCCACCAGAUGGGAAUUAGCUGCAGUAUUGAGACUUAUAUUAGGUAUAUAGUAGUAAUAGAGAUGAUCCGUAGCAAGGUAAAUAAUAUAAAAAGAACUCGAAAUGAGAAGAACAAUUCAAAUGACAUACCGGCCUGGGAAUGAGGAAGCCCGAGAACAAGUUCCAGAAACUCAAGAAGAACGACAUAACAAUUGCAGCAAUUUGAUGGCCAGGAGUCAGGGCAACAACCAUCAUUCCGUACAUAGAGAAGUAGGUAAAGCACAUGAAGAUGAAGUAGUAGAAGUACAAAAACUUCUCCACCUUGAAAUUGUACCCGAUCAUGAAAAAUAGAAGGCAAGAAUAGACGAAGGUUUGGAUUGCAACGUAAAUUGUCUCAAUAGCCACCUAUAACACCAAUAUAUAUGUCAAUAAACAAAGAUAUGAAAUUGUAAUGACUAUACAAAAACAAGCACAUAAACGAGUGUGGCUGUCAAUAUCUUACCUGAGCAAAUGCAUAAGGCAACUCUGAAUACAUUCCGGCUGCUCUUUCACGAUAGAAGACCGUUCGUUCAACCGCAACCACAGAUUGCACAGCAGAAGCAUUGCUAGCUCCAAGGAAGAGAAUGGCAGAAUAGGUAGCUCCCAAAAGAUUGAUCAGGUCUUGUUGUUUGUGUCUGUAUAAAAGUUAAACAUUGUAUAAGCAGCAAUGCUUGCAGAAAACAUGCAACGAAUCACAUGUCAAAGAAAAUGUUGUACGAAAUAAGUAGCUGAUAAUAAAGUGCUUGAACUUACAUCUUGUCUCCUUUGCCCCAGAAGAUAACACCAAAUAAUACUCCAAUGCAGAUUGUCAUGAAAAACCUAAUGGCAUUGUAUCGUGAGUUCCUCCAGUAUGACCAGUGUUGUUUCCAGAAGCAUGCCUUGCAUUGUGUUGCAAAGCUUUGGGAGUAUUGGGUGGGGAAGUAAAGAUCGCUGGAGCCUGGUUCUGGAAUACUUAGUUCCUUGAUAAGUUCUUGAUUUCUCCUGGACAAACGAAACAAAAAGCAUGAAAAAAAAAAAUUAGCACACACAGAUGAGUGGAAGGCAACGAUGGAAAUGAACAGAAAGCACAGCUACAUGCAACUUACUUAUACAGAUCAGAAUUUGCAAAUAUUUCUGCAAAGUCCACAUCAUUCUGAGCCUCAAUGGCAGCCGAGCUGACCUCCAACAUCCAGGUAGCUGGAUUGUAACCCUCUUUGAUCUUUGCAACCCCUGGAAUAGCCUGCAAGAUGUUUUGUAUUAGUCAAACAAUUUAAGCUCAUAGAGCAAGAUGCAUUUUGGAUUGAAUGAGAUUGAUGUCUGAAUUUUUUAUUUUUUUUUAACCCAAGUGAUUCAAGUAUAAACUUACCUCAAAGUAUUCAACAAGUUUGUGAGACUGGCGACCUAGAGGACCGGCAUAAAUCACUUGUCCUCCUCUUUUCAUUAAGAAAAGCUACAAGGCAAAACGAUAUCAAGGUGACAAACUGUACAAGAAAUAAUGAAAAAUUCUAGGAAUUAAACAGAUUAAAAAAAGAUCAGUUUGUACCUCAUCAAAAGCUUCAAAAAUGUCAAUGCUAGGCUGGUGAAUUGUACAUACAACAGUUCGUCCUGUAUCCACGGUGUUUCUUACAGUACGCAUAACAAUGGCGGCUGCUCUAGCAUCAAGUCCUGAUGUCGGCUCAUCCAUGAAGAUGAUGGAAGGGUUGGCAACCAAUUCUACAGCAAUAGUGAGCCUCUUUCUCUGCUCAGUCGAAAGUCCAUCAACUCCCGGAAGUCCAACUAAAGCAUUUCUCAAUGGGUUAAGCUCGACCAAAUCCAUAACCUCAUCAACAAACAUCUGCAUAAAGGAAAGAAAAUUGAUAAUGGGAGUCAGCAUUUGUUUAUGGGAAUGAAACAAUUUAUGAAGAGAAUAAAUGCUAGAGUUGCUAAAAGUAUUUUUUUUAUGGGAAAUCAGGAACAUACCUUUCUUGUUUCGGUCUUGACAUCUUUACCAAGACGCAGCCAGGCAGAGUAUAGGAGAGACUCAUAGACAGUAACAAAUGGUGAAUGAAUAUCAUUUUGUUCACAGUAACCGCUGACCCGAGCAAAUGUGGCUUGGUUCUUUGGGUAACCAGAGAUGGUAAUACUUCCUUCAAUGUACCCACCGGUCUUUCUUCCAGCUAAGACAUCCAUCAAGGUUGUCUUUCCAGCACCACUGACACCAACUAAUGCAGUCAAAACACCAGGUCUAAAUGCACCACUGACAUCUCGUAGAAGUUGGAGUCGAGUCUCUUCAAUCCCUUGGCUCUUCAUUUCCUGGUAAAGACACAAAAAAGGUUAGCAUAAACAAAACAAAUUUGGAAAAUGAUUAAAUUCUGGCUUUGCUUGUUUAGAACCCCAAACUUCAGUAGAAAAGUACUUACGGCAGGCAUAUCCACAUAGUAAUUCACAUGGUUGAAAGCGAGUGAGAGGGGCUGGAAGGGUAAAACCAUUCCUCGUUUGGCUUGAUUAUUUCCUUGAGAAUUUCUGACUUGCAUAUCAAUACCUGUUAUCGAUCAUUAUUUAUUAGAUGAAGAAAAUAAUUGAUAGCGAAGCUACUAAUCAAGAUGUAAAGCAUACACCAUCUUUUAGAAACAAACAUCCCGGUUAGGAUCCACAAGAAGUAAUAUUUGUACCUUCUGGACUGGAUCGUCGCUUCUUAUUCCCUUCAGAGUCUUCAUCAUUCUCAAUUAGAGUUUUAGUUUCACUUAGGGCUGAAAUUGAGAAAAUAAUAAAAUAGAUAAUCAGCACUAGAGCCAUUACGGUAACAAUACCUCAUGACAGUUGAAAAUUGUUCACUUACGAUCUAAGUAGGUCAGUGCUGCCAUAAAAAGAAUAUUGAAGAGAACAGUAAAUCCGAAGAGCGCGGCAAUACAAGUCCAAUACCAAGUCUCCGUAGUAAACAGUCCUCUUUCCCUCAGAAGUACCUUUCCAACUGUGUUUUCAGAGGCAUUGAGAACAGGCUGUGCAAAGGGAUUAAAAAUAUCAUUAAGCACAACCAGUUCAAUUUAGAUAUGAAAGUGUUGUGGUAAAUAUUAAGAUAUGGUGUGAAUUAUAUAAACACUUCAGUUAACUUACAGCACUCCAUCUUUUAUCAAGAAACUCAUUGAUAGCAAUUGCAUUUUGCCCAUACAUCAUAGGUGACGCAUAGUAGCCCCAUAUCAUCCACGGCUUGAUGUCAUCUGCACAAUGAGAUGGGAUAUUGUGAACAUUUCAUAACAUGUGGAAGGAGUAUCAGUCAUCAGUGCGAUCAUUUAGAAAUCUGUAAGGUGCUGGUGUCAAAUUGGUAAAUGCACUAGCUUACUUUGACAAUGAAAUGAGAAAGAUUUCUAACCUUUAGCGACGACGAAACCUCCAAGGACAAACACCAGUAGCAACGUAAAGGAACCAAUUGUAUUCGAAACAACCUCUGUUCUUCCAAGGGCAGCAAUGAAACGGAAAAGGGAGAGUGCCAUCUGAUGUACGCCGAAGAAAGCCAAAAACUGUUUGAAGAACCUGAGCAUAUAUACAUAUGUCAGAUUAAAGAAUAAUUCAAUUGCUCUUUCGUAAUUUCUUUAGCAGCACAAAAAUAAAACUUUCGAGAAUGAUACGACUGAUAAGAUUGAAGCUUACCUACUGGCCGCUGGUGCAAACCCGAUGGUGUAGUAUGUUAGAACAAUCCAUAUCCCAGAUUCCAUCAGUGAAAUGGGAAUUCUGGUUAGCGAAAUGGGCAAGCCAAAAGCCCAGCCAGGAUAGAACAGGGCAUCCCUUUGUUUAAAGAACACAGGAAUCCUGAAAACUGUCAUUGCAAGCUCUGCCAUUCCGUUAAACAUGACGUUAAUGAGACUGAAAAACAGUGCUCCCCAGAAUUUUGCCGAAUCUUCUGCUCUUCCGGCUUUCAUUUCUGUUCUUAAGAAUACCGUCAAAGCAAUUGUAGCCAUGAUUGUUAUCUGCGUAGUUUUGAAUACGUACACGAAAGAGUUACGCUUCAUCAGCAACCAUUCCCUUGCAAAGCAUGCCUUGAAGAGCUCCAUAUUGGAUAUUCCAUACUUAUCCGUCACCAGAGCAGCAGGAUGGACUGAUCUUUUAUCAUAAGGAACUCUUAGUUCCUCCACAAGACGUUGGCCAACAUGAAAAGUGGUGAAUGCUCGAACAAAAUCGGAUACUGAAACAAAUCUGUAGGGUUGGUUCUUCUUAAACCAGUAUUGUUCUUGGUCCUUCUUAGACGUCACUUCUUGCAAGAAGUCUGCAACACCUUUUCUGUCAGGGCAUUUGAACCCCAUAUAUUCGAAGAACUCAAGCACAUUUUCACGUGGACCAUGGUACACAAUCUGACCCUCAGAAAGAAGCAUAAUGUCGUCAAACAGAUCAUACGUCUCAGGUGCAGGCUGCAAGAGAGAGAUGACCAUUGAGACUUCCAUAAUAUGAACCAUCUGCCUCAUGAACUUGACAAUCUGAAAGGUUGUGGAACUGUCCAGCCCCGUUGAUAUUUCAUCCAUGAAAAAUGCUUUCGCUGGUCCAACCAACAUUUCUCCUGCAUUCAGAAUAGACAUUGUGAAUUAGAAUACCAGGAAGUAGUUUUGUAUCUUAACUACCAUUCCUAUCAUGCGAACCAAGACUAACAACGGUUUCUUAAAAAAAAAUAAAAGCGCCAGUUGCAGAAACCACAUUGGUGCAUAAGUUUAUAGAAAAUCUUAGAAAUAUUUUAUAACUAAACAGGCAAAAAUAACACGGUUGUUAUCUUAAACACGUUCAGAUACAAAUAUAAAGCGUAACAUCAUGGAAUAACUCAAAUGACAUACAGUAACGUACCAGUAGUUACACGUUUCUUCUGUCCACCGGAUAUGCCCCUUCUCAUGUCAUCACCCACCAUAAUAUCAGCACAGAUAUCAAGUCCAAGUAUCUAUCAGAAUAAUUAAAAGACGUUAGCCUUGUACGAUAAGAAUGAUGGAACAAGAAUACAAUCUUAUGAUUGAAUCAACAAACCUUGAGAACGUAAUCUGUGAUCAAACUAGUUUCCUGGCCAACCAUAGAUGUGGCUUUCAUGAAUGCGUCGAUUUCAGGAUCGGGUUUGAUACCUGAAUCUUUCUCCCGUCUAGACAACUCUACCAGCAUAUCGUACCUGGUUCCAACUCCCAGGCAACGUCCGGAGAAAUCCAAUGUUUCACGAACUGUCAUCUCACCAUAAUGAAGAUCAUGCUGGCUAAUAUAAGCAGAAGUUCUCUGAGGCACAAAUUCGUGGAAUUCAUGGCCACAAUAGGUCACGUUCCCAGUUACCUGUUUAUAACACAUCUCGUCAAUACAUACGAAAAUGUAUAGAUGUACACGCAUUAAUCAAUUGAUAACUCUAAUAAAACGUAAUGAGAGAGAGAAGAUUACAGACCCUUAGAUCUUUAUCGAGUUUGCCAGCAAGUGCUUUUAGCAGUGUUGUUUUUCCUGACGAUGGAGGUCCAAGAAGCAGUGUCAUCCUGAAAAACAAAGCAAUAACUUAUGGAUGAAAUUUGGAAACAAAACUACUUCACAUGACCAGCAUACCAAAAGAUUAGUUUCUGUCUUCUUUCCGGAGGAACAUGAGUUUGUUUAUGAUGAUUGACUAAUUUUUUUCUCAUUGAUGCAACAAAAUGUUAAACUGGUAAACUAUGAGCAUACCUUGACGGUUUAACAAUACCGCUCACAUCUUGGAGUAUCUUGACAACUCUUUUCUUUGAUUUUGAGAGUCCAAUCAAUCCAACUAGUCCCUGUUCACAGGUACAGAUUUAGAAAUCUAAGAUCCGCUAGCGAAAUGCUCGAUUAAGAAGCAAGGUUCGGUAUUAAGAGAUGUCGAAACAAUACCUCAAGUUGGUUCAAGGUGGAAUUCAGCAGAGUUGGAAGUGCUCUGGUGCCAACAUAAGCAUCUCCUUCUAUUGACAAAUUCUGGAAUCUGACCUCAACCUUAGGAACCUCAAUUCCAACCCUGUUUCCAAAUUAAAACACAAAUUUAGCAACAAAACCAAGGAAAAACAAAUCUUUGAUUCAUCUGUUUUCAUGAUUUCAAAGUUUAUGUUUACUCAAACCCCAACUCAAAAAGAUUCAAAUAUUCGCUACUUAGUACUUCGGUCUAGUACUACUCUUCACUUGUACGCGUGAGAUUUUAGUUCGAAUCUCUGUUGAGUUCGAUAUCAAUUUAGUCCUUAACCCUUAGUGUAAAUAUAUUGUUGUAUCAAAAUAUAAAAAGUUUCAAAUUGAAAUCUUAGUUCUUUUCCUUUUCCCCAAAAUUUCAAUCCAACUCUUUUUUUUUUCCUACUGAUUUCUCACCAACCAAACAAACUACGCAGAGCAGAAGCAAAAGACAAACCUGUCGUUUCUGGCUCUGAGCCUCUGCAAGAACCUUUCAUUAUCAUCCUCCACGACCUUAAGUAUGCUCUCCAUCAACUGCUUCUUGUCUUGCGCCCCAAGAUUCGCAACGUCGACUUCUUCAGUUACAAAUCUCCCAUUGCUCAUGGCCUGUCUCAGCAUCCCCCUCCGCAUCCUAUCAUAAGUGGGCAGCCUCUCUAUGGCGGCCCACUUGAGCUCCUCCUCCUCAUCCACCGCCUGCUGCCGCCCGCUCCGCUGGAACACAUCCGGUGCGUUCCACAUUUCCCGAACACUAGUCGACCGCCAGCUCCGCCGGCUGCUCGACUGCCUGGCUACACUGGACUGCCUAGAUAGAUCAUCUCCGGCUAAAGCCGCCAUUUUUUAAACUCCCAAACCACCAAAUCACUCAAAAAUCGAGAUUUCAAGUAUUGGAUUUGACAAACACAACCAAAUCAGACGAACCCAGUUUCAGAAAAACCGAUUGAACUCCUAUGUUCGAGUUGAAAAUUGACGAUCAACAAAAGAAUGGUUUUUUGCUUUGCUUCUUGGUUUUUCGUGAAGAGUGAGAAAAUGUGAAGAGAGAGAGAGAGAGAGAGAGAAAGAGAUAUUUCUGCCAUUGAUUUGGUUCAGCAUUAUAUAGACUAACAAAGUCUGAGCAGGACAAAGAAGAAGAGUCUCCGAAAGAGAGAGAGAGAGAGAGUGAGUCGUCUCUGCCCAACUGGCUUUUGUUUUGCUUUUAUUUUUUUAUUAAUAUUUUAAUUUCUCGUGUAUGAUGGGAACCAUGGGGUGCUUAGUCAAAAUCGUACUAAUCCAUCUGUUCAUACCGCGGCUGGGUUCGGAAUUUCGGAUUACGAUUCUCCCCCUUCUUAAUUUCUUUUUUCUUUCCUCUCCUUCUAUUUAAGCCGUUACAAUUAAACCUUCUCAACAUCUUAUAUUAGUUUUUUAUAGAAAGGUAAAGACAAAGAGAAGUCAUUCAAUACUAUUGCUUGAUGAUAUUCCUCUUAACAUUGAAGUGAGAGAUCUUAGGUUCGAAUUUCGUCGAUAACGAAUUUAAUACCAAAUUAGAUUGUUUAUUAUGUGGCUUAGCUGAACUCCCCCUGCUCUUGAUGUAAAAAUAUCAACAAAAACAAAAAAUGGUCAUGUGAAUUGGACGACUACAUCUAAGAAUUUCUUCUUAUGAAAAUUUCUAAACAUAAGCAUGUUGUUGUAGUGUCAAUAAUAUCAUGUCGUAUGAAAAGAAACUUACAUAUAAUUAUACAAUUAACAGAAAACACCAUGAUGUCAUAGAAGUCUGUCCAUAACAAAAAAAAAAAUAUCUCUCUGCAUAUGGUAAGGGUGGUUUGGUCCUUGCGUACAGCUAAUCGUGUCAUAAAUAAGUCUUUCUAUAAAUUUUGACCGCUGCUGUAUUUUGGUGACCAAUUGUAGGCCGUGUUGUAAUCAAUAACAUUUCCCCUCUUAUUUUCAAGAAAAUAAAUUAAUACAAUAAAUACUCUUUCCUGUCUUUUUCUCUUCUUUUUGUUUCUUUUAUAAUAAUAUGAUUAUGAAAUGCUAUUUCUUGUGAUGGUGGGAAAAUGUUAGGAUAUUGGAUCCACGGGUAUGUACUGAUUCAGAUCGUGAGAAUAUUCUGUUAUGUUGCUGUCAAGUUUCAACGGUGACCUGCACCGUGCUUAUCAUGUCAUUAAUUACUACCUCAUUAGUAACAGAAAAUCUCUUACUUAGUGAUUACUGCCAGUUAUCCUUUUAAUAAUGUAUUUUCUAGACAUUCCAGCCAUCGCCAUUUCUUUAAUAUGGCUUAAAUCAGUAAUAUCACUAAAAUACAAAUAAAGGUUUCAAUUGUUGAAAUUCAAAGUUAAGCGUGACCGACAUGCGACAACUAAUAUCCAUUUUACUGCAAAAUAAGAAUACCUUCAGAGAGAAUGGGCCCAUUAUUGUAUAUAUGACUUUGACUCUAAUUUUAUCAAACAUCAACAUUGUAUAUUCCUCAAAAUAUUACAUUAGUUGAACUAAUCCUAACUGAUGUUUGGUUCUUGUAGUAUGAUGAAAAUAUGGUGUUAGUGAUACUUAAGUUCAAGGUCUGGAGUUCAUAGCACUCCAGACCUUAGGUUUUAGGGCUCGAGACCAAGACUAAGCAAACCAUUUCAGGGCUCCAGUCCAAAAACUUAGGUUAAUUGCUCCACCUUUGAGCUUCAUGUUCGGAGCAUGGGAGAUCAUGGUACGGAGUCAAAUAAGAUUUAACGCUUGGGGGUUUGAUGAGGUUAUUCCUUCCUAGUGCUACAAACAUGUUGAGUAUAAGAACACAAGUAAGGGUGUCGAAUCCACAGGGACUAAUUAGACCUAUAUAACCACUUGUUUUGCAAGAACCCUAACAGAAAGUAGAACUAAACAAUUUAGGCAGUUUUGAGGUUGUAACUUGAAAUACACGGAAAUGAAAUGAAUACAAGUAAAUGAAUCACAAGUAAUGUAAUGAGGUAGAACCAAGGGAGUUGAGGUUAGGGAUUGUAACAAUAUGGAGAAGGCUAGGGAUUCGAUUUCACCUUUUCUAAUCAAUUCCAUAUUGUUAAUUCAGAUUAUGCUCAUCAAUCUAUCUAUUUCUUGAGUUUGUUUCACUUAGAUAUGAUCAUCCAUAUGAUGUGUGGUUUUGAUCAAAUAUUCCUAGUCAUGAACCUAAUUGUGAUGUGCAACUUUGGUUCCUAAACAAGAAUGUAUUAAGCAUAAGAAACUUUCACAAAACCAAAGGAAACACUUGGCAUGAUGUUUGCCAAACAUUCCCUUCAAUCAUUCCCAUAUCUGCCAAGGUUAUGCAUGAUGUGUGCUCUAAGAUUGGCUAAACAACUUAUGGUUAAUUCAAAUGGUGAUCAAGCAUUAAAAAUCAACACACAAAGUCACAAUUAAAUUAGAGAAUGAAACAAGAAAUAGAUAAUGAUGAAAAAGCAUUCCAAAUUAACUACAUGGCAAUCUUUCUAGGCUACAUCGAAUCCCUAUAGAGAGAUUAGUUACACUUCAUGUUUACAAAGAUUUGACAUAUAAAAUAUAACACAUGAGUGUACAUAAAAUUGAGAAGAAAAACCCCUUGAAGCAAAACUGGAAUCGAAGAUCACUUGAGAAUGGCCUUCGGUGCUAGCUCUCCAAGUGUGGUGUAACUCCUCCAAGAAUGAUGUAUAAUGAAAUGAAAUGGUACGGUUGUGGUGAAAUGGUUGGUGUUAAUAUGGUGAAGAGGAUGGACAGAAAAUGGAGAGAGUUUGUGUGUAAGAAGAAUGAAUGAAUGUGUAAGAGAUGGAAUGGAAAUGGAGAGAAUGUGGUUGUGUGUAAGAAUGAAUAGUGUAUAUAUGGAAAUGUGUAAGAAGCUGUGUGGAUGUGGAUAGAUAGGAAUGUAGGUAGGUUAUGGAAUGUAGUGUAUAUAAUGGAAUGUAGAGUUGGUGUCCAAUUGAAGAUGGAAUUCCGAGAGUUUCAGAUUUCUUGAAGGAGCUCACUUAAAGGGAAUGGAUGGAAUAGCUUUUGGAUUCAGAUCCAAGAUUGGAUCUUAACAAUUGUAAAAUAUGGAGUGCUAGUGUGUGUAAUGAUGGGGUAAUUCCUUUCUGAAAUGGAUAGUGCACGGCAUGGGGUUGAAUGGGCAAGCAUGUGGUCAUUUAAAUGGAGGAGCAUGUGAAAUCUGCAAGGACAGGCUGUCAAGGAUUAACAAUGCACGGCAUGGGUGAAUUAGUGGGUGAAAUGUGGCUGAAUGGUGUAACUAAUGGGGGGGGUGAAUGUUCUAGGUGAAAAAAAAGGGGGUUGAAAGGGUAACCAAAUGCAUGGCAAGGUGUGUUAAACCUCCCAAUCUGAAUCCAAUGCAUGUGCCAUGCAUAAAAUCACCCAAUCUGGCCGAAUUGCACCCUUUGUCAAUUCCUGAAAUUCUAGCAACCAACUUGUCCUCAAUUCUUCACUUGGACUUCAAGUUAACUCACAAGAUGUUCUCCAUGCUUGAACUAGCUCUCGGUCACAAAAUGUGGUGUUUUUGCUUCAUUGCCUUCCAAUUGAUCCUAAAACAAACUUAACUACACACUAACACCAAAUAAUGUAAAAUGCAACAAGUUUGAUCAAAAACAUCACAAAGACACAAAAUAUGAAUGCUAUAAAUGCAUAUGAAAUGUGAACUAACAGGGUUCAAUAUGAAGUUUGAAGGAUAAUAAUCGAGGUACCAUUAAGGAUUCAUAGUAAAGAGAGUUCUUGACUACUGACCUUUCAAAGGCUUCAAUGACAUUUUCUUAACCGGCAUUAAAGCAUCUUGAAAUGCUUUUUUGACGAAACUCUAAGCUAUGAAUGAGUUGAUGAAAAAGAGUUACAUGCCUUGAAUUUUCCGACUUAACAACCGAUAAAGAAAAUAUGUUAUAUAACUGGAAAUAUAUGUCAUUGCUUCUACUACACUCAUCAAGGGACCAUCUCAUUCUCUACCACAUUGACGAAGCCAGUUGUUGCCCAGCCACAAGAAUUUGAUAUGCAUGCAUACGUAAUAGGUCUUAUUAGCUUUUGUUUUACCUACUUUUUCUUUACUUGCUAGUCUUUUACCAAAUGAUCGUGUGAUUCUAAUUACUGUUUAUCGCCUUUCGAUAUCAUAUGCGGUCAGCCACUUUAAAAUACUAAAAGCCAAGAACUCUAUAUAUAUAAAUACAUAAAAAAAGGUUAUAUAGUAAUUUCUCUCUCUCUCUCUCUCUCUUUUAUGCGUCACCUAUAGUAAAUGAGUUUACUUACAUUGCUAGUAAUUUUCUUACUUACUUUUUUAUUUUAAUUUUUUCACUUCUAUGUAUACCAUAUGUAUUCCACAAGCAUGCAAAAUUAAAUUUUUAAUUAUACUAACAAUGGAAGAAAAAUAGUGGGAUUUUAAUUAAUUAAAAUGGAGUGUUACUAUGUUUACUUCAUAGUCUUAUUUCCCCACUGACGUUAUAUUUUCACCCACCAUAACAAAAUUUUAAAAACUAAACACUCUCUUCCCAUCCACUUGUAAUCCUAAAAUAUCCUAAACAGUUUUAAGUUCUAAAUAAAACAAAUAUAAAUAAAGAAUUAUUGUAACUUGGAAAUUUUAGAAAAGUGGAAUAACCACGGAAAGUCCCCGCCAACCCAGCCAAAAGCAAACCACAACCAGGCACCACAUGUGACAACUUUAGCUCAUUUUCUCUUUGUUGCUGGGAAAGUUACCUUCCUUUUUUUCUCCUCCUUUCUCUAUUCCUCUCUAUCUCUUUCUUGCUCCCCUUACCAGAUAUAAAUUUAAGAUUCAUAUUCAUACUUAUUCCUAAAUUAAGGGUUGAAAAGUAAGGAGAAAAGAAGAGAUAAAAUUUGGGGUGAGUGGGGAGGACGGAAGAUAUAGAAGAUGGAGGGGAUCUGAAGAGUUAAAAAGGGGAGAGGGAUGAAGAGAUAAAAUGGGGAUGUUUGAUUCGUUUGUCAUUUUAAGUUUUUAAUUUUUUCUAUUCCUAUUUUUCUUUGACUACAAAGAGUAUAUAAGAUGAUUAAUUUUAACAAGGCUUUUGAAGUCUUCACUUAAACGAGCUCUUAGUCUGUUUUAAAAGUUGGCUUCAAAGCCCUUACUAAAUUGGAUAGGGGUAGCGGCAUAUCAUACAAAAUAUGUAACCUAUACCAUCAUUCAUAGAGCUAGCGGUAGAUUAUUUAGAACUCGUGCUUUCAUUAUGGAUUAACUAGCACAAGUAUCAGGGGUGAAAGAAAAAAGAUGAUGAUGCGGUGGUAUAUCAACACUCUUAAAAUUUUAGUUUUGUUUGUACCAUAUGUAGGGCCUCCGUAUUUAGAUCUCGUAUAAAUUCUCGGGAGACUUAAAUAUAAUUAUGUAAUAAAGGAAGGGGCAAAUAUGUAAUAAGUGAGGAGCCCUUAUUCUAUAAAAAGACCCCUCACUCUCCUCAUUGAGAUAGGCCAAUUCUUAGGCCUGAGAUCCCCAAACUCCCUCACAUUCAGAGAACCUCAUUCUCACAUUACAGAGGCUCUCUCCAUCACAAUCUUCUCAGAGAAAUACAAUAAUUAGUGUGGAUGUAGCCCAAACAUUGGGGUGAACCAUGAUACAUCUUGUGUUAUUUGCUUUCUUGCAGAUUCACGGUCGGAUUUACGUUGUUCCAAGACAUCCGGUUUUGUGCAUCAAUAUUUGGCGCCGUUUGUGGGAAUCGACACGAAAAGUUAUGUCGAUUCUCUCUCAAAUUUUCACCUCCUUCGUGGAUCUGUAAAACCCAAGAGACAACCAAAACUCUCUCUGCCAUCAAAAAGCAUCGCCUCUUCUUCAGCCCCCGUCAUCCCUCUCGCCUGCCAUCACCCAUAUCUUUCAGAGAGAUCAGAACAAGGAUUUUUAGAGAGAUCAUAACCUUUAGCUUCACAAGAGAGGCCACAACCUUCCAUGCUGAAGCAAAGGAACAGCAAGGAUCAGAGCAGUUUUGGUUGCCUACAGAAGACGACACAACCUUAACUCUCCAACUACCCAAAAACCCACUUCGUUUUCCCUUUUCUAGUGAGAGAAAGAAACAGAGAGAAAAACCAGAAGAGAGAGAUAGCAGUUUCCGCCAUUAAUGUUUCUCGGCAACAAAGCGUGAGCACUCUCACACUCUUAACGCUCUCACUUGUCGCAAAGCAUUCAAUUAAUCACAAAAUACAGCUGAGCAUGGGAACCUUAGAGAUCUUCACGAAUCUGGAGUAGAAGUGGCUCUCGUCAUCUUCCUCCCUCACUAUAUCGACUUCCCCAUCAACUCCGUCCAUCUUGCUCCAACCUCAGCCGCCGCGUCCUUCUCUUGAUCCCCUACGUCUCGUCCCCGAUGGACACCAUCACGGAGUCCCACAUGGCUCCCCCUAAAUCAUCCAUGCUGCCAAUCCCUACGUCCUGGUUACCAAGAGUGGCAGCCCCAGUCCGAAGACCUCGAGGACAAUCUCUCACUCUCUCACACUUGUUUAUCUCCCGAGGGUCAAAAUCUACUGCAUCAAUUCUCCUAAUUGUUAAUCUUGUUCUGUAUUUCAUUGUGAUUGUCAUUGCUUCUUGGGCUAUCAACCAUGGAAUCCAAAGGUCACGCGAAACCGCAUCUGGGUUGUCGAUUCUUGCCCGGAUAUUUCCAAUAUAUUUUCCGUUUGGGAAUACGGCUAUUGGAUUCUUUGUGAUCUUCUUUCUUCUUCAGCUCAAAUGGGUUCUCAGAUUUGCAGCUGUUGAAGCGAAGUACGAGUGCAAAUUCAGAGUUUGAGAGCUCAAUCGAGGGGGUAAUUGCUCAUUGCAAACAGUCUCAACAGCUAUUAAAUUCAAGAAAGUAGUUUGUGGGGGUGAAGAUAUCUCACCAGGGUUCAUCUAAUAAAUCCUAUGAAAGACGCACACAUGAAUAAAAGGGAAGAGUAUUGAGGACCGAAGCAUAAACUUGGUGCUGGUGGUCGUCUUCAAGCUUCAGCUUGCUGCAAGCAUUUCGCAGUGUACCCUUCUCCCCAGGUUUCUACAUCUGUUGUGUAGCCUUACAACAGUGUUCUCUCAACCCAUUCUCUGUGAAAGCACAUGGGAAAGCAAAAGCAAAGCAGAAAAGAUGCAGAGGAAAGGCAAAAGCAAUCAAGUGAGCUGCGGGAAACAAAAGCAAAAGCAAGGAAUAAAAAGAGAAAGGAAAAGAUUAUACUUUUUCUUUUGUCGACCACCAAAGCAGAAGAUGCCAUCAACUUUUGAAAAAGAAAACUUUCAUCAUGCAUGUUCUCACUUUUCUGAAGAGCCACUGGAAUACGCACAUGGAAAAAGAUCUGCAACAACCCAGUAUGCAGUAGGUGUAGUACGCACCAACAAUUUGCAACUGUCGAAACCUUUGUUUUGAAUGAUGUAAUUUAUUUUUCAUAUGUUUCGAAGACAUCUGUAUAACCUCAUCAGACGGUAAUCAUAAAAUAAAAAAAUAAAAAAAUAAAAAUAAACGGCAAGCCCAAAAUAAUGGGCUGAAAUGUUAUGUGGAGAGCGAAUGCCCCUAUGCCCAAAAGAGCCAGGCCUUCUAUUAUCACCAACCAGGUGAUCAAAAGUACGUCAAAUACUACAAAAAAUUAUUCGGCAGCCUGCCGCUAUUACCACCAACCAGGUGAUCAAAAAUACGCUCAGUACUCCAAAAUUAUUCGGCAACCUGCCGCUAUUAUCAUCAACCAGGUGAUUAAAAGUACGCCCAGUACUUCCAAAAUUAUUCGGCAACCUACCACUAUUAUCACUAACCAGAUGAUCAAAAGUACGUCUAGUACUUCCAAAAUUAUUCGGCGGCCUGCCGCUAUUAUCACCAACCAGAUGAUCAAAAGUACGUCCAGUACUCCCAAAAUUAUUCGGCAGGCUGUCGCUAUUAUCACCAACUAGGUGAUCAAAAGUACGUCCAGUAGUCCAAAAUUAUACAUGAGCAUCACUCAUGUCAAUCAUACAUAAACAUUCAUGAGCAUCACUCAUGUCAAUCAUAUAUAAACAUUCAUGACCAUCAUUCAUGUCAACAUUCAUGAGCAUCACUCAUGUCAACAUCCAUGAGCAUCACUCAUGUCAAUCAACAUAAACAUUCAUGAGCAUCACUCAUGUCAAUCUAGUUUCGAAAGCUUCAUUUACAGAGCUCUAGCUUCGAAAAGCUUCAUUUACAGAGCUCUAGCUUCAAAAGCUUUAUUUACAAAAGCUCCAGCUUCGAAAGCUUCAUUUACAGAGCUCUAGCUUCAAAGCUUCACUUGCAAAGCUUCACCUACAAAGCUUCAGUACAAGGUAUACAAAUACCACAUCCGAACAACUGCCACUUCGGCCCAUACAUGGAUUCAAUUUAAAGUCUCCAGCCAACAUACUCUAUUGACUGAAGACUUGGGGGACUACAUUAUGUACCAUAUAUUGGGCCUCAACUGGGCCUCAUGAAAAAUACUCGGGGGACUUAACGCAUUAUUCAUGUAUUGAGGAGUGGGCCCUUAUUUUAUAAAAGGGACUCCCUCACUUUCAUUAGAGAGCACGCAUUAUUCAUGUACUGAGGAGCGAGCCCUUAUUUUAUAAAAGGGACUCCCUCACCUUCAUUAGAGAGCAUCGCCGCCAGCUGAGCAACCGCCUUACCACGAGCAUCGACUCUAGCCCAUCAUUUAUGUAUUGAGGAGCGAACCCUUAUUCUAUAAAAGGGACUCCCUCACCAUCAACGCCAUAAGCCGAGCCAACCAAGGAAACAUAAGCCACAAGCAGAGCAGCCUCGCAACAUGAGCUACUUCUAGUUGAGCAUCAUUUCACUUUGAGCACCGCCUUAUAUCAAGUAUCAGUUCAAGAUGACAUCUAAUUACUUCGGCCCACACAUGGGCUGAAUUUCAAGUCUCUAACCAAAAGACUCUCUUGACUGAAGACUUGAGGAACUACUGUAUGUACCAUUUUUAGGGCCUCCGUAUUUAGAUCUCGUAUAAAUACUCGGGAGACUUAAAUGUAAUUAUGUAAUAAAGGAAGGGGCAAAUAUGUAAUAAGUGAUGAGCCUUUAUUCUAUAAAAUGACCCCUCACUCUCCUCAUUAGGAGAGGCCAAUUCUUAGGCAUGAGAUCCCCAAACUCCCUCACCUUCAGAGAGCCUCAUUCUCACAUUACAGAGGCUCUCUCCCUCACAAUAUUCUCAGAGAAAUACAAUAAUCAGUGUGGACGUAGCCCAAACAUUGGGGUGAACCACGAUACAUCUUGUGUUAUUUGCUUUCUUGCAGAUUUACGGUCGGAUUUACGUUGUUCCAAGACCUUCGGUUUUGUGCAUCAACAAGUUUUAAGUGCAAGUGAAGUACACAUGACAUGUGAAGAGUUGAGAAAGUUGAAAUGAGAAAGUUGCUAGUAUUUCCCAACUUACAUUUGCUACAUUUUAUAAUCACAUUUGUAUCAUUUUUUCUGAUUAUAGCUCAACAAUAUAAGUAUAUCUCACAUCUAUUAAAGAGUUGUUAUAUAAGUGAUAUAAAUGUGAUAAAUGUAACAUUUUAAAUUGUAAAUAGAGUGAUCUCAGUGGUGGACUAUGGAAAUUCGAGUGAGAAGGAGCACCUAAGAAACUCAAAUUCCUUUUUUUAGGACAAAUGACAAGAACAAAACUUUCAGUAUUCCCUAAUUUGGUAACACAUUCAUACUAACAAAAUAAAUCUUAAGAGGAAUUUUGACAUCAUGAUGAAAGAGAAAAAGAGAAGUAUAUGGGUCACUUCAUUAUCUUUUACAUAAUUUUAUAAUAUGUGUUCAAGUUUUAUAUAAUAAAAAGGAAAAUUAAUGAAAAAUAAUUGAAAACUUUGAGUUUUAACGAUAAGGACAAAAUAAAAGAUAAAGUGAAUAGUACCAUGAUUGAAUUUUUAGUGUUAAAAUGUGGUUUCUUUAAAGUAAACAAUACCAGGAGUUUUUUGUUAAAGUUCCCUAAAAAAAAUGUUUAAGAGGAAGUACUUCCCCUCAUUCCUCUUACAAACCAAUCACAAUUCCAUAGGUGUGUGUAUAAUAUUGUGUAUAAGCUCUCAUUUAGUACUAUGGUUUAGUGAUAUUCUUCUUCACUUGUAAGUGAGAGGUCUUAGGUUCAAUUCUCGCUAAAGACAAAUUUAAAUCACAUUAUUGCUAGUCCAUUGUGAGGCUAAGCCCAUCCCUCCCUCUUAGUGUAGAUAAUAUCGUAUGUUUAAAAAAAAUGGGUAUAAGCCAAAAGUCGUACGUUUAUGCAAAUGUCCCGGUCUUUGUUAUUUAUUUGUAAUUAAGAACGACUUCUUUAACGGUAAGGAGCCAACUAGUAAAAAGAAAUGAAAGUAUCAUUUUAGUAAAGUCACGAAGAAAAUACCAAAACUUCAUACUUAAGACCAUCUCCAAUGGAGAGGACUAAAAGUCCAAAAUCCCAAAAAUGCUCUGAUUUGCUUAAAAACUUAACUCCAAUCGAUGGUUGGACUAUAGUUCUGUGGAGCCUACCAGAGCAUUAUUUGACCAAAGGAGCAUCAAAAUGACCAAAUGUAGCCCCCAUCUUAACCUCUUUUUGAAGCUGAACUCUUUAGUUGCAAUAAUUGAUUCAAAUUUAAUGGUUAAAUUUGAAAACAUCCAAAUAGUUUAAUUAAAUUAACCAAUAAAUUUGAAGUAUGAACUUAAAACUAAUAAAUUAUUAAGGGAGCUAUGUUUAGCCCAUUCGGUUGAAGAUGAUAUAUGAGUAUGACAUAUGAGUAUGACAUGAUCCUGGUCAUUUAAUUUUUUUUUAAUUUUUUUGGAGAGCUUUAAUUUUGGACAGAAUGGUAUUUAGCCAUUUUAAUUGGAGAUGGAAUAAUAUUUUACAGCAAGAACAAUAUUAAUCCUAAUUACCAUGUACCAUGUAAAAAACAAGUAGACAAAAAGUCAUCCACCGUUCAUAUAUAUUUUCCUCUUGGAUUUGAACGAAUGAAAGGGAACUGGAUUCCCUUCUGAGCUUAGGAGCCUCCUAAGCAAAUAAUAUGAGUCGUUGAAAUUUGAUCUAACGGCUACAAACAGAGGAUCUCAUUAAAAGUUAUAAUAAUUACAGCUGUUUGAUCAAAUUUUAAUGGUCCAGAUAUUUUGCUCAGGAAGCUCAACCUCCUAAGCUCAGGAGAGAAUCCGGUUCUGAAAGAAAGGAAGGUGGCCAGCUAGAUAAAGUUUCAACGCCUUCUAGAAAGAAGGGAAGGAAGGAGAGCUGGCAUUGGCAAUGGCAAGGGAGAAGAAUACCUAGAUUUCAACAGCCACUUGUGCAUGGGGUCCUUUUGUCCACAUUGUCUUGACAAAUACAAAAAUAAUUCAAUUAUAUCAAUAAACAAACAAACAAAUGGACGAAUCCAAGGCUGCGUGAAUGGCUUGAUUGAGAGAGGAUUCUUGUCGGAUUCUUUUAGUGAGGAUCUUGAUGAUUUUUAAAUCUUAUUCGUUCAUAGUACAUUGUACGGUCAUAAAUCAUUGUAAAUUUUUUUAUUUAAAAUUGAAUAUAAAUAAUAUCUGACGAAAACUGGUAACACGAUGUAUGAUGAACAUAUAUGAUUUGAGGAUCCUGGGAUCGAGGAUCCUCACUCAGCUUGAUUAAUUAACACAUCUUAAUCAAAUUAUUUGUGGGCCCUAAUCCUUCCUUCUUAUCCCUUAGGAAAAUAAGAUCAUUUCGAACCGAUCCGGCCAAAUGGUUAUAUGCCAAAAUAUAACCCGUUUUGACACGAAAAUUGUCUCUAACCAAGAAUUAAGCCAAAAAACUUGUGGACCCCACCCGACCACAAAUAAGACACCAAGCCAACGUGUUGGUCGAAAUGAACCAACCAACCAGCCCGAUGCAGCAGCCCAACCAGCGCCUUCUGGUCCCAUAAACCAGACAAGUUCCAUACUUGAUCACAUGUGGAUUGAAAGAAACAAUAUUGCAGCAGAAUCUCUUCUUAAGUGAUGCAUCAACUUAAUUAAUUAAAGCAGCUUUAGCAAAAAGUUAAUUACUUAUCUCUUCCUUUCGUACACAAAAUAAACAUUUUAAUUGCAUAUUUUGCAACUAAUCCCAUUCCCGGUAUUGACUAUUAAAAUUUCAUAAUAAUAUUUAUAUAAUUUUCUUCGAUUAUGUACUUUUUUUGGUAUAUUAUCUUAUGUAGUUUUGCAAAAAGAACCAUGCAUGUGGACAUACUAAUAAUUAAACCUUAAUUUGGGCUUAAAAAAAAUAAUAAUACAACCAGGACGCAUACAAGAGCCAAAUAUCGUUGGGGUUGGUCCAGUGGAAUGUUGCAUAUAUACGUAAUUAUAUUUAAUUUAUUUGAUAAAUCUAACAUUAAACUAUUUAGUGACGUUGAUUUAGGUACAACCUUUUUUAUUAUUAGUUGGUUAUUGUUCGUAGGUUCUUUUCGUUAUAGAACAUAUUAAAAAAUGUGAACUUUAACGAAAAACUCAUGUACUAUUCACUUUAACGAAAAAUCAUAUUUUUACACUAAGAAGUCAAUCAUGGUACUAUUCACUUUCCCCUUUAUUUUGUUGUUUUCGUUAAAACUCAAAGUUUUCAAAUCAUUUUCAUUAGUUUUCCUUUUAAAAAAUAGCCCCAUUCGGUUGGAGAUGAGUUUUUUUUUUGUCAAAGAGUUAUGUUUUGGCCUAUGGCCCUUUGACCCUUCGGUUGUAAAUGGUAUAAAAUACGGUCUGACGUUGUUCAUUAAAAAAUAAUUUCUUGCAGAACUUUAUGGCUAAACAUGACCAUUUGGCUCUCUUUCGAUUGGAGAUGGCCUAAGAUUCGUCCAGCAACUUGUUACCCUUAGUUGGUACCGUAUUUGUCCAGGUGCAGAUUUUCCCUGCAGCUUGCUUUGUUUUCAAGUUGCAAGUGGUGGCUUCAACGUUCCCCAUUCAAAUAUGGCAUGCAUGCACGGGUUUUAGGGACAGAGACUGUUUGAGAGCAUUAAUCUCACAUUGAGAAAAGAAGAAAUAUUAUACGUGCUUAAAGAUAAUUAGAUUAUUUUUCAUGUUGCCAAUUUAUUUAUGGUGAAGCUUUAACUUCUUUAAGAAUGUCAUAUUUAAAAAAAAAUACAUGUUAAUUAAAAAUGUGAUUGCCACUCUAAAUAUAUUUUCUCUCGUACAUUUUAUCUGUUUGUAAUACAAAAUAAUAUUUAGUAUUUAGAAUAUAUAACUGGUAUGAAACAGUGUUUGCAUUCACAUGCAUGCAUGGUUGAAGUCCCCGCAAGUCCAAAUCUCUAGAUAUAGUCAAAUCCACGUUUUUCGUACUGUUAAAUACUGCUAAAUAAUUAAUUUUUUUUUAACUCAAAUAAUUAAAUUAUUAUUUAUUUAAGUUAAGGUAUCCACAUAUUUUUUUGGGGGUCAAAAUAUGUUGUUAAAGAACUGAAAAAGUUAGGAAAUGCAUGGCCGUCAAAGUUGAGUCCAAGGCCGUUCCGACUGAUGAUGUUUGACAGUCACACGCAAAAUUUAGCUUGGUCCCAAUCCGACGACUCUGCUAUCUAUAGUUUGGGGUGACUAUUUCUUUGUUAUCAUGCGUUCACGUACGCGUUCGUGGUCAACAUUAGUUAACCACCACUAUGCUAAUCAUGCUGUGUACCGACAAAUAUUGCUUUUAUGAGAGGGGAAUUAACUUGCAUGUUUUAUUUAUUUAUUAAAAAAAACUUAAAAUACUAAAAUUUUUUUUAGUACAAGCGAUAUUUAUACCUCAAACUAUACUCAAAGGAGUGGGAGAACUUGGACGUGGAACACCUUGUGUUGGACUUGCUCCCCCGUACCAUCCCAAUGUGAUUAAGAUCAAUCUGAAGCCUAGACGUUUCGAGCUUUGUCUUGAUCAAAUGCAUCAGAGGCGCCAAAGGCAUGAGGGAAGGCUUGAAAAACUGUCAGAAUGGUCUGUGUUGGGAUGCAAAGACGAUGGUUUUUAGAUUCGGCAAACAUGAAAAUGUGUCCCACACUUGAAGAAGUACAUCAAAUUUCGGAAAUUAUUUCUAAUUCAAAAUUUAUAAUGCUUGUUCGUGUUGAUUAUAGUUAAACCUAUAAUUAUACAAGAGUUCAAAGUAAAAGCAUUUAGAAAAAAAUAAAUUAAAAAAUAAGUCAAACUUUUUAAGUUAUGACACAAAAUAAAAUAAAGUCACUUUCACGAUUUACAAAUUUGUCGUGUCAAAUUCUCAAACAUUGCUAGCUUACUUGUGUAUGACAUAACAAAUUCUACACGUUUAUUAUUUACGCUAGAAAAAUUCUUAUGUAAACAUUCAUGUCAAAUAUAUAGUUAAUCCAAAUCCAAUAUAUUCAUUCAUGUAAUGUACAAUCGAGUCGCUUUUAUUUUACAAUUUGUACAAGGAAGAAUGCAAAUGGACAAUCUUCAACACGAUUAGUGUAUUCCCCACACCCCCUUUCCGUAUCAGUGACAGAUCGUUUUUACAUCCUCUGCAAAAAUGUUGAAUAAAAAUUCAGGGACAAUACCCUUUUGAACGAGUAGGACACAACUGCAUGUGUAGCCUUGUUAAUCCGACUAAAUAAAGCAUCACGUGCUACUAUUAAAUAUUAUUCACUGACCAUAAUUGAAACUGUAAUGGAUUUAUCGCUUAUGAUAGGAAGAACCAGGUCAUCAUGUAAUAAUUCAGUUAUAUUAUAAUAAUUAAUAUAAUUCAAGUUGAUACAUAGGUAAUACUAAAAAUCAGUUUUAAAUAAUUCAUUACCUGUCAAUGGGUCACAUGUCAUAUAUAUGAUUUGUAUAUUCAACUACAGAGAAUCUAUAAUUUCUUAUUAGCCUCGUUACACACGCAUGAUACGGUUUUAAUUUGCAUGUGUUUAAUCUCGCAUCGCAAAGCCGACAAUCUUCACCACCAAAAGUAUCGCAACAACAUGGUUGCUACCUAACUAUCUUCAAUCAAACCAAUACAAAACGAUCAGCCUCUAUAUCAUAAAAUAUUUGUAAACGGAAAGAUGUAUUAGAGCAUCUCUACCUGUUAGUAAAGGGCAAAGGUGCAGUUUAUUUUAGUACAACGAUAUAUUUUACGUCAAGAGAUAGGAAGUUCGACUAAGCCACACAAUGGACAACCUAAUUUGGUAUAGAAUUCGUUAUCCAUGAGAUUCGAACCUAUGACCUCUCACUUAUAAGUGAAGAGGAAUACCACCAGACCGAAGUAUUGAGUGGCAUGAAAUUGCACUUACCAUCACUCUAAACAGUAAUUAUCUUUGUGCAAGUCCAUUUGUAAGGAAGGAGAAAGGGCAAGGACAAGAAUGAAUACUACUCAAAAAUGUAUAUUUGUUUAUGUUUUAUACCUUGUGUACUUAGUAAGUUUGUUUUUUGAAGAAGAUGGUUGAACUUUUUAAGUUUCUCAAGUGUACCUAAUUUUAAGUGCGUUGUUAAAAAACAUUUGUAUUUUUUUCAAAUUUUAUGGUAUUUUUUUAUUUUCUUUUUGUAUCUUCAAUUUUUUUAACGUUGAAAAUCCAACAGUCCAGAUGAAAGGACUGUUGGAAAUCCAACGGUUUGCAAGCAUUACAAUUGUGAUGUCAUGUGGGUGGGCUGGGGUGGGCUAUCACAUGGGUGGGGCCCUCCCUCACCCCCGUGCUGAUUGAAAAGGCCGCAAGGUCGUGUAAUUGUUGCAAGGGCACAAGCCCUUGCCCCAUUUGCCUCUCCAAUUUUAAGACCGGUGGAGGAGGUUUUUCUGGGUUGGAGGCAGUUUAACCCAAUUGCAAGAGCAAUAAAGAGACUGGUGGAGAUGCUCUUAUCUUAUACAGCCACAUUUAACCAUGUACAUUAAUGCUAAAGCUAAGCGACCCACUUAAUUAUUGUCAAAUGAUAAUUAAAGCCAUGGUGAUCGGUAUCAAAAUUUUCUACCUGUUUCGGGUUUUGAACCAAAUGACAAGGGAAAGUUAAACUAACUCUUAGCCUUGUUUAGUAUAGAGAUUGUAUUGAAAUCGAUAAUUCUCUAAAUUCAAGGUAUUUUGAAAGUAAAAGAUAAUGAUUUUUCUUUUGAAGGGGAUUAAAAAAGGAUUAGACAUGAAGUAAACUUGUCACUUCUAAUUCUCCCAUUUUGGAGAGGAUGAGUAAUUCAUCUCAUACCUCUAACCUUGCCACAAAAUUGUCAUUUCUUCUUUUGGCGUAACUUAAAUAUAAUGAAAUAUCAAUCCCAAAUCCAAUCCUCAAUAUCAAAUCAGCCCUUAAAAUAAAUCUAGUAAGAAUGGAUUGGGAAUUAACUUAAAAUCGUGUUUUUAAUUAAGGUUCACUUCUUAGUAAGGGAUGACAAUAAUACGCACAUGAUUGUUAAUCCAAGUUUCAACUGAAUUUUUUUUAUUUGUUCUUGAAAUUAGAGUACUUGUUUGAAUUAUAAGUUUACAUUCAUGUCAGGUGUUGACAGUGUGGUAAUGAACAGACACAUGAGAAAGGGAUAUACUAAGAAACUCUUACAGAUCAAUGAGCAAUAUUCAAUAUUAUUAAUCUAAAAGUACACUUAAACUCUAAAAUAUAUUGUGCUUAAGUAGAUAACUUAGAGCCCUAUAGAGUACUUAAUUUAUAAUUAAUCAUUUAUAGAAAAUAAAAUAAAUAACAUAAUUUUUAUACAGUAAAACCUUUCUAUAGUGAUACGAUCUAUAAAGGAAUAAUCUUUAUGUAAUAAUAAAAAAUUCCUGUUCAAACGUAGAUCAAUUACAUGCUUAUAAAAGAAGAAUAAACUUCAUAUUAUAAUAAGUUAUAAUUGUUAUAAGUCCCGCCUUAAUAAAACUUGCCUUUGCAUAGUAACUAAUAAUCAUCAAUAAAUAAAUAAAUAAAUAAAUAAAUAAUGCAAAGUCACAUAUUGAUUGCAAAUUGAAUUGGUUGUAUUGUAUGUAUUUAUAAAAUUCACUUAGGGUUAUUGCACUAAUAGCUACUAAUAUGUGCACAAUUUUCAAUUGGUCCCUAUAGGGAUAUUGGACUUGUGAUGGGCUCCAUUUUCAGCGCAAAGCAGCCGAAUAUUUUGAUGGUUUUCAAUUGUUGGCUAAUGAACAAUAUUUGGAGAGGGUGGUCGUCGAUCAGAGAGAGGGAUAGUAUAGUUUUUGGUUUGUUGCUACCCAAUAUUGGAACCCAUGCCUCAAUAGUCAUUUCAUGAUAGUGAAAUAUUUUUUUUUUUCAAAUUAAAAUUUUGAUCAGGGGUAUAUAUAUCCAAUAGAUUGGGGAAUGACAAUAUCGAUGAGAAAACCUUACGAAAUAGUGAAGCUCUUUCUCAUUCAAAAAGGAAAAGUUCCCCUAGCCUUCUCAUUCAUUCUUUAUCCUUCUAAAAUUCAACUUUACUAUUGUUACAUGUGCCAAUACAUAGUUUAAAUUUUCUAUUUUUCAUUAUGACGAGCACAUAUGUCCUAAAAGCAACAUAUAGAAAAGUCAAAACAGCAUACAUCAUAUGUGUGCAAUUGAGCUAGAACUCCUCCAUACGACAUGGGGUCUAUAUGAGUUUCAUUGCGGAAGCUAGGAUUUUUCAAUUAUCCUGAAAUCAAGCAAUACUUCUUCAAAAAUUCUAACCCUAACGAGACGCAUGCAGCUCGAUCUAUCUCUCCAGUACAAAUUCAUCUUUCUUCACGAAGUAAGAGUUAAGGUACGCACCUAGUUUUUUCGUUCUAAACCCUAUAUGUGUAUAUAUAGCUAACCUAUGCAACUCUUUGCUUUUUGGAAAUUUUGAAGCUUUUUGAUGACUUGUUGAUUGUCAGAGAGCCGGCUGUUGGCAAACACCAAGCUAGCUGAUGCAUGCAUGCAUGCCUACUUUCUUUGAUACUCUCUUUUUUGGGGCCGGCCGAUUAUAGCUUUUUUAAGCUUUUACGAAAUUUCCACUCCAACGUUUAUUUGAUAGUUCUAUCAGCAGAUCGAUUGCUAAUCCUCAGUUCUCAGAACUUGGUUUAUUAUAUACAACACAUUCUCACUUGAACUCUUUAUGUUUUGAUUAGAUGUAUGCAUGCCCGUAAUUAACUCUUUACGUUCUGAUCAGAUGCAUGUUCAUAAUCCAAUGACUAUUAGGUCUACACAAUUAAUUUAAAAAUUGUUUGGAAUAUAAAUAAGAUUAAAAUUUAGUUAAUAGCCAUAGCUUGUACCCCAAGUAAAGUUAAUAUAUUCCGGAUUUCCUUGGAGAAUAAGGGCUCCUAAUUCUUUCCUAUUUGGGAUGAGAUUUGGUGUAUCAAUUAUCCUUGGACUGCAAGGAAUCCUAAUAACAUUAUUAUGGGAAGAUUCAUUAGGGUUAAGUCCAUAUAAAUACAAGGGUAAUGUCUCUGCUCACAAUACACAUAAACCCAUAUGAAUGCCCCAUUAGUUCGAGUUUAAAGGAGUGUUGGGUGUGCAGAAGGCUUUGGUCAACCAACAAAUUAUUCCGCAAGAUUCCAAUAUGAUUUCCACUGUAGGAGAAGUCCGUUCAUGGUUUAGCCUAUUUCACACAGUUCUGUCAAGAUGAUUUGUCUUUACCAUCCAUGCAUGGAUUCUUUCAAGUUAGUGUUUUUAGUUGUUUAUGAAAUGUAUAAAGUCUAACAAUGCAUGCAUGCCCAUAAUUAGAUCUGCGACGUUUUUAGAAUUAUCAUGCAUAUUGCCGUAACAAGGUCUAACACAAUGGUAUGUCACGGACAUUGUUUUAUUCCACAUUUAAGUAUUCAUCAUUUGCAUCCUCCGAAUUCUUUAAUCUACGUACUGUAAUAAUUCUAUUGCUCGAUUUGCAUAGAAAAUUUAAGAGUAUUAAGAAUUGUAAUAUAAUAUUAGGUUUUAAAGUUCUAAAAUUUGUAAAACAAAAUUUCUUGGAUGACUUAUCACGGGCUACACAUUGUCUUGUAUUAAAAUGUGUUAUAUAUUUUGUUAAUUUCACAAAUAAAUUAGGUCGAGACAGUGAUGCCAACAAAGUCCACAAGUCACGGAUAAGGUAACACCUUAUGCAGAUAUUUUAUAUGAAAAGUUGGCCGACCGAUUCUUUUGUUUGAUUGCUUUCCAAGGACCAAUUAUUUAAUUUUGUGGUCAAACUUGGCGUUAAAAUUUAAUGGCGACUUCCUAUUCCUAACAGAAACAGAAGCUUCCAAGAAAUAAGUAAGGGACAAAGAAAAAUUAAAGAAUAAAACAUGAAAGCCGCCGGUAUAGAAAAGACUACAAAAAUGUUAUUUUAUUCCUCUGCUCUAUUAAUGUACAAUAAUCAUUAAUUUGAGUAUGAUUAAACUUGCUUUAUCUAGUUGGGUGAAUUGUAAAUUAAGGAACCAAGAGAGAGAGAGAUAUAUAUAUAUAUAUAUAUAUAUAUAUAUAUAUAUAUUUUUUGAUGAUUAAGAAUGAUUGUGAUGAUUAAGAAACCAACAACAUGGAAAAAUUAGUGACUAGAAUGAUGAUUAAGUGUUGGAUAAGAGGAACAAACUAAUGACUCAUUUAGAUGUGCUUUUAAAAUGGUUAAAAACGCUUUUAGAUAAAAUGAUUUUACUCCAAAAGCUGGGGCUUCUUGUAGGAAUGCAAGAAGCACUUCAAGUGCUUUUAUUUGUAUUUUUGCUAAGAAUUGAUUUCAAAAACUUUUUCACUAAAAUCACUUUUAGUUAUUAAAAAAAAACAUUUCUAAAUGUGCCUUAAUCAGGUUGCAGUCUAGUUUAGAGAUCAAUAAUUAAGCAUUACUAGUCGGAAGACUCAUUAAUUUACAAACAUAAACGUAUGGCAAUCAUUUUAAUCAUACGCGGUUUCUCUCUCUAUCUGUCUCCAAAAUCCCAAACCCAGAAGCCUCCCCCCCUCCGUUUCAAGUUUUAGCAGCCGUCCUUUACUCUUGCUCGGGGAAGGCGGUAGCCCACUACCCCUCAUUUUCCUCCUCCUUCCUUCCUUUCUUCUUUGCCCCUUCCUUUUUUUCCUCCCCUCUCAUCUCCUUUGCCACAUUACCCCUCCCUGCAUUCACCUCUUCUUCCUUCCCCCUUUCUAGUCUCCUUCAUGUGAUUUCAUUCUUGGUUCUCCCUGAGUUUUAUCCCAGUUUUUCUUGAGCCGAGUCUCAACUAUCACUUGAGCUUAUCUCAAAUUUGGGCUUUAUGCCCCUUAUUCAGCGUUUUUCACCUGUUGUACUGCUUUCUGUCUUUUAAUUUUUGUUCAUCCCUCUUCUCUAAUUGUGAUACUCCAUUCCCAUCCCACCAUGUUCUUGGAUCAGCAGGCUGCAAUUAGAAAUUAAAUAUCAGAUCCACUUUCCUCUCUCACUUUCCUUCCCCCAACCGGCAACCCUGACCCUCAUCGAGACCAAGUGUUGGGUGUUUUAUAUGCUCCCUUAGCCUCACUCUCUACCCAUAAGAUACUUUGUUUGUAGAUAUUGCAGGGGUUCGUGAAGGGGACUUGGAUCUAGUGUCUACUCUCUCGGUUCGAAAUUUGACUUCCUCUGAGGAUGUAACGGUUGCGGCGGUGUGGUUUAUGUUGCUGGAGAUUAGAGUUUUUUGUUGUUUGUUUUUUCAUCCUUCGGGUCCAAGCCUGUGUGGGCCUCCAGUUGUAUCUUAGGUUGUAGCUCUCAUUUUGCUUGAACCUUGUACUUUAUCUAUAGUUGUUUACCUGGUUCCCUUUGGAUCUUGUACUAAUUCUUAAUGUAAUAAAAUAUAUCUUACUUGACAAGAAAAAAAAACGUUUGGCAGUCAGUCACUGCUAAUACUGAAAUACUAGAGCUAAUUAAAUGACUAAAUACCGUAUUCAAACUAACAAAGAAGGAUAAGUAAAUGAAAUGGUGUAGGGUCAAACCUUUACCUGAAGGGUUUCACUUUCAAUAAUUAUUGGAGUAGGAUAACGGUCCACCGAGGGAAGCCAUGCAAAAUUUUUGUAGACUUUUGCACCUAAUCAAGUUGCAUUGAUUGAUACCACUAAUUAUUCAAACUCUCAUGUGGCGGUUGUUGAGUGUUAACUAACUUGAAUUAAUUUCUUUCAUUUUCUAUGCACGUCAAUACUCAUUGAUAUUAGUUGCAUAUCGAUAUUAUUAGCCAUUGAUAUGUCUUUUACUCACCACCUAAUUGAGUUCAACUAAAAUUAAUGACGAUCGUUCCGAUUUUCUUAGAAUGCCACUCGUUUACAAAAAUUAUAUCAGCUUUCAAUAUAGAAAUUAAAUUGAACCUAGAUUGGUUUUAAAGCAAUAUCAUAAAUUAAAGGUCUUUAAUUACUUUAUUUUAUGGUAGUCAAUAUUUAGUUAUUAUACACAGUAUAUUGGUGUAUAGAGCCUUUAUCUUUUUAUUUUCUUCUUUCAACCUCUACUUGGUCGUAACAGCUGUGUCCUGUAUUUCUUAUUAGGGAAGGGUUUGAAAAAUUGAAAACCGAAAAACCAAACCGAACACCAAAUGGAAGCAAAAAAAAUAAAAAUAAAAACUGAAUUAAAUUACAAAAAUCAAAUUGAAUCUUCUUUUGGUUCAAUUUGGUUUUAGUGGUCAGGAAACCGAACCAAAUCGAAUUAAAUAUAUAUUAAUUUUAUUGAUUUAUUUAUGUUAAGUAUUUAUUUUUGAAGUCCCAUUUCAAGCUAACUUUAGGCCCAAAUUGAAAGCCGAACUUCAA
rnacentral:lncRNA from 1 species